rnacentral:lncRNA from 1 species
UUUUUUUUUUUUUUUUUGCUUUCUGUACUUAAAGCACGAAUGUUCUUCACAUGAAAAUACCAUAGUAAAUGAUGAAACCCAGAAGAAGCUUCGAAUUUAUGGUAAGGAAUGAUGCUUACCUUAGAGAGAAAAUAGAGAAGAGAUGUAACGGUGGAAUGAUCGAGUGAAGGAGGGAGAAAGUGUUCGUGUUUAUUUAGGAGUGAUUUUCAAAACUUAAAUGAACGGAUUUCCUCCUCAUUGUUAGCUACCGUAACUAAUUUAUGUAAACAUGUUUGACUGGGUAAGAAGUUUAAGAAAAAAUGAAUACUUUUAGAAUUUGUGAUCCUAAACAAGUCAAAAAGGGUCUAGAGUAUUUGUGUGGUUAUUAAAGCUUCUUAUUAAGGGUAGAAUUGGAAGUUUAAACUAAAUUGUUUUCAAAUUUAAAAAGGAAAUAUUAUUUUUUUAAACGGAUCAAAAAGAAAAUAUAUACAUAUAAACUGGAACAAAGAGAAUACUUAUUUAGGAGUGAUUUACGGAUGGUAUCUAAUUGGGAGACAUUCAAAAUUUAAGUGUACUCAUGAUUAUUUUUUUCUUUUUUUCAAUUUUUUUUAUUUGGUGGAAAAGUUAUUUAUCUAGUAAAGAAUUUCUUUAUUUACGCCAACUGUUUUUAUCAUUUGUAGAAAAUUAAUUUCUUUCACAAUUUAUAAAUACUUUAUAAAUAUUUUUAGAAAAUUAAGUUUGUUCAUCUGUUGAAUCUUUAUCUUUUCACUCUCUUCAAGAGUCUGUUUUUCAUUUAUUCUGAAUUCCAAGUACUGCCACAUAUUAAUGUAUCCAACGUUGUUUGUGUUUGUUCCAUUCAUACGUAAAAAUAUUACUCUCUCCCCUUUACAAUAAGUGAUUUAUUGGUCUAUUUUUUUGUGGUUCAAAAUAAGUAAUUUUUCUAAAUUUCAAGAAUGAAUUAAUUAUUUGUUUCCUACACUACCUUUGGAGUAAAUAAUGUUGGAAGAAUGUGUUAGGAGUGUUUAUAUGAAUAGAUGGUAAAUAUUAAUAUGGUCAAUUUCAUUACUAAUUAAUAUUAAAAAGUAAAUUUCUUAAUCUAUGUGAAAACAACAAAAAAAAAUUACUUAUUAUAAACCCGAAGGAGUAGUAUCUUUGUUCGUGAUAUGCAUGGUGGAAUAUUAGAAAACUUUUUGUUUCCAUAUUAUGGGAAGUGCUUAGGAAUAUUUCCCCUACUUUGGUCCUAGAAAAAGUAUAUAAUGCCGACGUUAAAAGUUAUGCUUGUGAUGUGUGAAACUUUAGUAAAGUGAAGAGUAAGAGCAAGAUAUAUGGAGUACUAAAUUACUUGAUGGUGGGGUUGCUGGGAAUCAAUAUUAGAAAUUCCUACAGCUAAGCCAAUAAGCCAUCUCAUCAAAAAUUCUAACACGUUUUAGCCAUCUAUAUGAUUCACGUUUGCUUGGCUAUUUUUUCUAAUUCAUCGGAUACUUUGCUACCUUCCGGCUGUUAGGUUUGGAGAACGGGGUUUCGUGAAUGGGUAUGAAUGAGAAAUAGAAGAGACAGCUUUUAAAUUGCACAAAUUCAUCUUACCUUUUUAUGUCUAUAAAUUUAGAGGCUUAGUUUUAUUUUUCAAAAAAAUAGAAAAUCUGAAAAUUUCUCCCAUUUUUUCUACAUUAUUGUAUUAAUUUUUUAAUUAAAUAUAAGUGUUAAGUGUGAUUUGCUCUGUUUGUUGAGUUCGCUGAAAUUCUGUAAUUUCGAUUGCUGGUAUUACAGAAUAGUUUUCCCGUUUUAUCCUGAGAGGAAGUAAUCCAUAAUCUUGGACAACAGUGAGAGGAUUAAAUUCCUUAAGGACACACAAGUAACUUGUGGGCUCGAAAAUUAUUUUAUGUUUAAUGUUUCGUCGCUUCUCUGAUUUUGAACACAUUUUACCAACAAAUUUAAGGAAUUUAACGAAUUAUUGUUUAUUUUUGAUUACUGGAUUUGCCUGGUACUCUCGUAUGGGAAAAGAAAGGGGGUGGGGGGGUUGGGGGGUGGGGAAUGUAGUACAGUAGAAGCGAAAUGAAUGAAUUCUUGGUUCUCAUCUUUUCUCACCAGUGCACUAGUAUGCCAUUAAUGGCCAAAGACAAUGUGUUCAAACGGUUUGCAAGAAAUCUUCGAACAGUCGUUACCAAUUACAAAUGUUUUCAUGGCUUACAAAUUUGGAACAAUGGAUUGAUUUCGUUCAUCCAUAGCUGACUUUGGGUUAUGAUUAAAGUGGAACAAAGUGUCCUAUUUAUUUCUACUAUGCAGUGAUUCAAAAGAAAGGCAACUUAAAUGAAAUAUUGGACCUUGAACGUGGCAUCAAAUUUUGAAUUGACUGGUUGGAUAAAAUCCAGUACCAUUUGAAUGCAGUUCCAGCGAUAUUUUCAUUUAAAUCAGGCAUCAGAUUGUUAUUGUUCAUACGAUUUGUAUCGUUUCGUAAAUAUCAAAGGAAUUGUAAGAGGAGCAAUUCUCACGGUACAUGAAGGUCUUUGUGGGACUAAUCAUGAGAAAGUGACAACUAUGCCGGGUUAUGCUUUCUUUACUUUACUCAUUAUUUUAAUUUUCUAUCCUUUGUGAUUCACGAAUUCAGUUUCUAAAAAUGAUAGGAUAGAUAAUUAUUUUAUGAUGAUCUCAAAAUAUAUUCUAUUUGCAUGGCAUAAAAUAUAUUAGUUGGUAUAUAAUUUGAUAGCAUGCAUAAAAUUAUGUGACAUUAUUUUUAAGAUUGUAAGACAUGAAUUAGGCUUACACUAAUACUUGAAAAUUAUUUUGAGAUCAUGAAGAUGAUAUUUUAUAUGUAUAUUAUUUUCGAUCAAUAUAUAUAUAUAUAUAUAUGUGUGUGUGUGUGUGUGUUGGUUUGAUAAGAAUAAUGACAAGAGUGGGCUGCUCUAGUGGUGAACACCCUCCACUUCCAAUCAAGAGGUUGUGAGUUCGAGUCAUCCCAAGAGCAAGGUGGAGAGUUCUUGGAGGGAGGGAGCCGAGGGUCUAUCAGAAACAGCCUCUCUACCCCAGGGUAGGGGUAAGGUCUGCUACACACUACCUCUCCAGAUCCCACUAGUGGAAUUAUACUGGGUUGUUGUUGUUGUUGUGGUUUGAUAAGAAUAAUAUAUCAAACGGUUAACAUGUUCGGGAGUUAUAAUGGUUUAGUUGGAAAGCCAUUUGAAAAAGAAAAUCAAAAUACUUGUGAUUUUCUACCCAUGUUUUGGAGAAAAUUAAAUUUUUCAGGAUUUUCUACUCCCGUUGUGGAGACCAAAAUCUUUGUGAUUUUCUACUCAAUCUUUGAGAUUAAAAUCGUCAUGACGUUCUAUUUAUUUUCGGAGAUUAAAGUGUGAGUGGCUUUCUACUAACUUCAGAGAUUAAAAACUAAGUGAUUUUCUACUCCAACUUUUUACUUGGUUUGAAGAGUAAAAACUUCAUCGUUUGACUAAUUCUGGUUGUGUCAAAUAUUACUCGGUUUGAAGAUUAAAAAAAAUCUCACCGUUUAUUAAAUCUAGUUGUGUCAGAUAUUGCUCGGUUUAGAGAUUAAAAACUUUACCGUUUAUUAAUUCUGGCUGUCGAGACACAAACAACAGUUCAUGUGCUUGGCUCUACAAAGUAAUAGGGGCGAUGACUAUGAAUCUCAUUUUAAAGAAAUAUGUUUGGAAUAUGGUAUUAUUCAUCCAACGACAGCCUCUUAGGCAUCGCAAUCUAAGGAAUUGUAGAAAAAAAUAAUAUAACGUUAAAGGAGAUGAUGAAUGCCUUGUUGAUAAGUUCUAGUUUACCCCAGAGCUUGUGGGGGGAAAGUUAUUAUUACAGUUAACCGAAUACUGAGUCGAGUUUCCCAUAGCAAGACGCAAUCCAUUCCAUAUGAAAAUAGAAUGGAAGGAAGCCCAACUUAAAUAUUUUAAAGUGUGGGGUGCUUAGCGAAAGUGCAAGUUCCUAAAAUCAAAAAGGUAAAGAUCAGACCGAAAAUUAUUGAUUGCGUUUUCAUAGGAUAUGCAACAAAUAGUAAGGCAUAUCAUUUUUUGGUUCAUAAAUCAGAAAAUUGACAUUCAUAUUAAUGUGUUAAUCGAAUUAGAUAAUUCUGAAUUCUAUGAGAAACUUUAUCCAUAUAAAAAAGGAAUGUGAGUUGUCUAGUAAAAUAUCUAAACGACCUCUCGAAGAAGCAAAGGAAAGUACACCUAAUGAGGUGAAUCCAAGACGUAGUAAACGUCAAAGGACAACUACUUCUAUUGGAUCAGAUUUUCUGACAUUCUUGUUGGAAAAUGAGCUUUAAACUUUGAAAGAAGUUAUGUCUUCCUCGGAAAGAAGCAAUCAAUAGCGAGAUAGAAUUCAUAUUAAAUAAUCAUACUUGGGAGUUAGUUGAUCUUACUCUAGGGAAUGAAUCAUUGGCUUACAAAUGAAUUUUCAAGAGAAAAAUAAAAAAUGAUGGCACUAUUGACAUGUAUAAGGCAAUACUUAUUGUCAAAGGAUAUAGACAACGAGAAGGCCUUGACUAUUUUAACACAUACUCGUCGAUUAUGAGUAUUACGUGCAUAUGGAUGUUAGUAGCAUUGGCUACAGUGUAAGGUCUUAAAAUCUAUCAAAUUGAUGUAAAGACAAAAUAAUAUUGUCAAAUGGCUUCAAAAUUAAUGAGUGUAAAUAAAUGUGUUUACGUUAAGAAUACUUCAAAUCAUAUAGUCAAUAUUGAUUAUAUGUGGAUGAUAUGUUGAUGAAAUAUUUAAAAUGUGGGGGCUUUUAGCUUAUGCAUGACAAAAGCCAAUGUUAGACGUAAUGUCUAAAUGAUAUAAUUUUUGAACCCCGCCAAUUUUUAGUGGAUAUUGAUAUGAUAGUCAGUGAAUUCAUUACUUGUUCAGUCUUAGUGAUGACUAGUGAUGACACUACAAAUUUGAAAGUUUUUUACGUGCCUUUCAGAAAUGAUUUGUUCAUUCUUGAACAUUUAUAAUGUUUAGCUCUUUUAUGAAAAGGGUGUCAUCUGGAAGGCUGUGAUUUUUCAUGAAAAGUGCAUUUGUAUGUUUUGUAUAAACAUGACCAUUCAUGAACGAAUGUAUUAAUACGCUAGUCUAUAUUGAGGUGAACCAAUCGAUUAACAUGACCAAAAUCCAUUGCAAGUUGGAUUUGUUUCAUUAAUGAAGGUGCUAUAAUUUGCAUAUCACAUAGACGUAUGAAUAAAUAGCAUACAAAUGCUUGAAAAUGGCUGAGUGAUUAUGAAAUGUGUUAUGUAUUAAAAGGUUGUGGCACAACUUAUGCCAAUCAUUCCAGUUGUUGUUAUAAUAUACUAUUGCAAUAGAAAGUCGAGACGUAUUAGUCUACGACACAAGGAAGUUUGCAUUGAACUAUCAUGACAAUAAAAAUAAGUUUUGGGAUAUUUAAAAUACAUCCAUGACUAUGCAUUUCACUAUAAUAAGUAUCAUAGGAGUAUUGAGGGGUAUAGUGAUGCAAAUUAGAUCACCGGAUCAACCUAAACUAAAUUCGCAAGUGGAUAUAUUUUUACAAUCAGUGGAGGAGCACUGUCUUGGAAAUCGUCCAAACAAAUAUGCAUUGCCGCUCUACAAUUGAGGGUGAAUUUAUAGCCUUAGACAAGGCCGGUGAAGAAGUUGAAUGACUUGAAGAAAUUCCAUCUUAGCCCAAAAUAUUGGCACAUAUAUGCAUACAUUGCGAUGGUCAAACGACAAUAGGAAGGGCUGGGAGCAUUAUGUAUAACGAAAAAUCUUGUCAUAUACGACGAAAACAUAAAACGGUUAGGCAACUACUCUCUAAGGAAAUUAUAAAAAUUGACUAUGUGAAGUCAAGCGUUAGUGUGUCGGAUCCAUUUACAAAAGGCCUAACUAGAGAGGUAGUUGAAAAAUCAUCGAUUAAAAUGGGACUAUGGCCAAGAACAAGUCAUUGUGGCAGUAACUCUACCUAGAAGACUGAAGAUCCCAAGAUCUAGGUUCAAGGAGCUCAAACAAAGUCAUUAAUGACAGUUCAAAAUUGUCAAAUAAUUUUUUUGGUCCAUUCUCAUGAUGAGACAAUGUUCAGUACCAAGGAUAAAGCGUUAAGGCUUUUUAAUGGUUUCUAAGUUAGAUACGGUGUAUAUCAAAUAGUGUAACUACGGGAUUACACGUUUAAGAAUUGCCUAUGUAAGUGUGAAGUGUUAGCCGCUUCAAGGAGAUUUCUGUAAAGAUAAUUAUCUAUGCACUUAUGAAACCAGGCGGUGUUCAUGGCUGAAACGAACAUAACAAUGAGAACCAAAGAUGGUUAAGGGUUGAUUGUAUGACUUAUGGUUAUCUAGGUAUACACCAAAUCUCGACGGUUUAAACAUAUCAAAUCUACCGAUUGACUAAGUAUAUCCGACAUAUGUUCACUACGUAAAGUUUAAAGGGAAACCUACUUAUCCAGAUUGACUAACCAAAGAUGUUUUGCAUGUUUUUUAAAACAUAUUGUCAUUCCCCAUUCAUGUGGUGGAUUAUUAGGUUUCGUGGAUGGGUGUGAAUGGGAAAUGGAAGAGGCACCUUUUGAAUUGCACUUCUUCAUCUCACCCUUUUUUUUAUCUAUAAAUUAGAGACUUGGCCUCAUUUUUCAAGAAAAUAGAAAAUCUGAAAAUUUCUCCCAUCUUCUCUACAUUAUUGUAUUAGUUUUUCAAAUAAACAUAAGUGUCAAGUGUGAUUUGCUCUGUUUGUUGAGUUUGCUGAAAUUCUGUAAUUUCGAUUGCCAGUAUUACCAAAUAAGUUUUUCGUUUUAUCCUGGGAGCAAGUAAUCCACAAAUUUAGGCUACAGUGAGGAGAUUAAAUUCCUUAAGGACACACAAGAAAUUUGUAGGCUCGGAAAUUAUUUUAUGUUUUGCUUCAUUGAACUAAUAUUUCGUCGCUUCUCUGAUUUCGAACAUAGUUUACCGACACCAACAACAUAGGCGUUAGGCAACUGUGUCCCCCAAGCUUUAAACAUAUGGAAAUCUUGUGCUUGACUAUGCCUUUGUUUACUCGUAAAAUAGUACAGUUGAAUUUAUACGUGGUUUCUAGACAAGUGAACUAAUUUGAUCCUGAAACAAUGCAAUAAUUGAAGAAAUGUACAAUACUUAGCCUUAAUAUGUAGAUGAAACAUCAUAGAUGACAGUUCCGGGAAUAAGGUUUCCAGGCACAAAAAUGAUGAGAUCAAAAAGCAAAAAAGUAAGAUUGUAUUAAGCUUUGUAUAGAAUGUGGUGUAAGUUUUGCCAGAAAAUUCGUGUCCUCUCAAAUGAUAACCCCGCUCACUGUUUAUAGUUGUGUCUAGGAAAGGAGUUCUUAGGAGCAUGCCCUCCUUAAUGUCAAUUAUGAGGGUCAUUAAUGAAGAUGUAACGGUGAAUAUUAUGCCAAAUUCUCUGUAACGGGCCGUCGCUCUUAAUGCUGUAGAAUAUUCCUUAUUAAACGCUACCGAGCGCAGAGCAUUUAAUACACCUUUAAGAACGUUAUCCCUCCCGGUGACAAGUGGAAUGGCUGUGUUCGGUCUUCGGCCAUCCCCGUCUAGGGUUCCACGUGUCUUUCCUUUAGAUGACCACAUGUCAUAUCAUAUUUCACCAUAUAAAGAUAGUCUCACUGCUCUUCGGUGACAUAACUUUGUGUUAUCGGGAAGUUGGUAGAAACACUCUUUUGGCGGGAUUUACUAGAACUCCCUCUGAAAGCUUCUGACGAUUGAUUAGACGCACGUCUCUCCGCAUUUAAUGCCCCGAACACGCGUUAUUCCACGAUUCAGCACAACUUUUGCCGAUUAUCGAGGUAAUCAUGCCAUGAAUUUAGCCGCCAAAUUUUUACUUAUACGCAUCAUUCUUUUCCUUUGCACUUCAUAAUUUCUUGAACUUCUGAUUUGCAUCUUUGUUCUCCAUCCUUUCUAUAAUUCUCUUCAAACAAAAACCUUUUCCUUUUUCUUAUUCAACGGCUUCUUCCUCCAAGCGUGCCUGUUCUUCAAAGAUUAAGAACAAAGUCAAGGACUCUGCUCCUCCAACGGUGGGUUCUAUCAUCCCAAGGAGACUCAGUACCACAAAGGACUUAGAAGAGAUAUUCCCUACUGAUAACCCUCGUACAUGGGCUGUUAGUAGGUACCCUUAUUCCAUUCAUCCUUCCAGUAUUCCUGCUGUGAAGGAAGACUAUCGCUGCCAUGAGUUGGAUAUCAUUGCUCCUGCUCUAUCGGAGAGAGUGACCCUUCCCAAGGAAGGUUUUACAUACUUUUACACGUAUCCCUUUACUUUGGGGGCGUUUUCUUUGAGUGGAGAGCUUGAUUCCGUGAUUGCGGAGUUUUACCUUCGCUACCAGGUGUGUUUGGCACAGGUAAGUCCUUCAGUGUGGAGGACGGUCGCAUGCCUUCGACGGUUGUGCCAGUAGACUGGAGAGGAGCUAACCUUAGCUCAUAUGAUGAGUCUUUAUUCUCCCAAAAUCUUUCGCGGGGGAAUGAUAAACCUUUGCAAGCGUGGCCACCAUGUUUUGCUGUCUACAUGGAUGAUGACAACGACCAUGGGUGGAUGGAACGGUUCAUUGCAGUCGCCACCAAUGACAUCAUUCCGUAAACGGUUUCAUCCUUUCUGGCCGCUUGGAACCGCACUCGUAAGCUCUUUGUUUAGUUUUUCCUUUUACUAAAUACUUUUCUAUAGUCGUAUUGAUCCUCCAUCCUUUGUUUGUUUCAGCAACUCGAUGGAUCCCACUGGUGAUGGAAGGCUUGGACAGGUGGGUUCAAAAGAUCUUGGACGUCACGACGCCCGAAACUCGUUUGUGGAAAGAACUAGCCCUUAAAUAUGGGUGGAAGGCCAAAAAUUAUGGUAAUUUUAACUUACCUUGCUUCCAUGUUUUUUUUGUAUAAGGAGAACUUGGUUGAACCCAUCUGACUUGUUCACAAAAUUAGGUCUACUUGCGGGCUCCAUUGUUGUCCCCGAGGAGGAUGUCUUGGAGGAUCUUGCUGAGAGCUGAUAAGUGGAGAUUUUGACUACUUAUUGUCAUGCCCCGAACUCGGGGGGGCGCGACCGGCGCUUAACCGAGUGAACCCGGCCGAGCAAGCCUGUUAUAUUUCCUUCUACCCAAACUCAUCCAUGAAUAAAGAGGAGAUGCACUUCAUUAAUCAAAUACUGAAAAGAUUUCAUUAACAACUCCCAUUUAAUUUCCAUUAGCAGCUUCCUUCAUAAUUUCCAAAAUAUUACAAGUUUAUAGAUAUAAUGAAAAAUAUGUCUUCCAAAUACCAACACUUCUAGUUCAAUUCCCAACAACAAACACCACCCACAACCUGUCUACGGAGCCUCUAAGUACAAUAGAAGAGUAAGAUGGAAGUGCCGGCAACAAGGCCCCGGCUAUACCUCAAAAUAAAAAGUACAACAUCAAAUGAUAUCAGGCCUAGAAUAGAGUAGGGCUCACCAAAACCUGCUGAAUAGGGAGUAACUGCUAACGAGGACCAAAGUUCCCCGCUGAUGAACCACCUGCAUCCAUUGAAGAUGCAGCACCUCGGCAAAAAAGGACGUUAGUACAUAUGGAAUAGUACUAGUAUGUAAAGCUAACUGUCCUCUUUCAAAAUAGAAUGCCAAUGUAAGAAAGGGAAAAACGUAGAAACAGCAAGUCACAAUCAAUGAUAUCUAAAUGCCAAGUUAAAACAUAAUAAUUUUCAAAAUACGAAGAUAAUAUUAUUUUUGGUUAGGAGAUCUUUAGCACCGAUAUACCACUAUUCACAAUACCACCGUACUUUUAUCACGGAGUCCGAUCACGACCCGACCGGCUAGGCCGUCUCAUCCGAGACAUCAACCAUAGUCACAAUCUUGAUCAUAAUUUCAAUUGCAAUUUCCAGCAUAAUUACCGCCAUGUGUGCCGCAUGGCGUCCGAUCACGACCCCCGAUCGGCUAGGCCAUCUCAUCACAAAGGCGUAUGGAUUGGCAUCAUCCUCUUCUAUCAAUCAUCUCAUCCCAAUUAAGGGGAAUAAUGUUAUCAUAUCAAUCUCAUCCCAAAUAAGGUAAAUGAUCACAAUCCACUCCUACACCGGCACAUGUAGUUUCAGGAUUAGGUUAUUUCAACCUACCCUUCCUCGGUGACUAUCGAUACUCCCAAAAACAUUUUUUAUUUGCAUACAAAGGAAACAGCAAUACAACUGCAUUUACCUCAUAACCUUUCACACCAUUUAUAGCUUCAUUGGCAUUUCCAUCCACUUACAACAUCAUUAUUUCAUUGGCUCUCUUGGCCAUACAUAUGAUUCUUCAUUCAUGGAACAAUGGCUGUAUUUCAUAUUCCACAUUUUUAUUUCUUUCCUUUCAUGGAUCAUCAUCAUAAAUAUCAACAUAUAUAAUAUUCCGAAAAUCACAAUUUUAAGUUCAUUAGAAAUGAAGAAUUUAAGCACAAUAGAUUCCUUUCCAAGAAAUUGAGUAAAAUGAUCGGCAAUCGAUGCGCANNNNNNNNNNNNNNNNNNNNNNNNNGAAGAUCUAUGUAUUUUAUGAAGGAAUUGAUGGAAUGAAACACAAAGUUAGUAGGGAUUACUCACCUUGAAGAUGGGGGCAGUUGGAGGUCUUGAGAGAGUGGAGGAAAACCCCAAAAUUCGGCCAAGAGAAAUGGGGUAAAAUGAACCCUAAAUGAGUAUAUAGUGUUUGGGGCACCACAUAUAGCGUGGGGAUCUGCCUGUGGCGCUGGUUCCAGAACCUCAAGAUUCCCAGCACCAGGGAUAGCGCCCCACGCUACCCUGGGCACUGGCGAUGGGAAAUCAUUUCUAUUUCUCCCGAAAAUUGGCAUAACUCUCUCAUACGAUGUCCGAAUUUGACGAUUCUUUUUGUUAUGGCUCCGUAAUUUCCAUACGGAUCUAAUGCUUUAAUCAAAACUGAAUUUGGAGCUCAUUUGCUUAAUGUGAUACCACUUAUGCUUGAAGAAACGACGACGAAACAUCCUAGAAAUAUCCAAAUUAAAUUACGGACAUAUGCCCGAGUACAAAAUCAUCAUCCGGACCUAACGGAAUUGUCAAACCUCUGAUCCAAGGUCGAAUACAAAAAAAUUAAACUUGAUCAUAAUACAUCAUUUGAAGCUACUUAAUACUUCAAAUAGUUGAGAGGAGAGUAAAUGUUCAAAACAACAAGUCGGGUCGUUACACUUAUUAGCGUCUUUUAGCUUUUAUUUUAGUCUAAAAGCAUUGAAUUACAUUUCCGAAACUAAUGAAAUGUAAAAAAUUACAGGAAUGCGGGAAGUUAGACUCCUGAGAUGCAAUCCGGCUCAAAGAGGAGAAGUCCAAGCACAAGGCAACAAAAGGGCACAGAAGCAUACAAAGUGCGGUCCGCAGAAGUAAUUCUGUGGCCGCAGAAGCAAUUGCGGAUCACAGAAUUCCACCUGCAGUCUCAAACAAAGAAGCAAAAUUCAGAAGAUAUUUGUGCGAAUUGCGGACCGCACAUGAAUUGUGCGGCUGCAAGAGCUGAGCUAGGACUCAAGUUCAGAGAGUGUGCAAAUUUCCAAGUCCCAAGUCCCUGUGAAUUGCUGACCGCACAAGAAUUGUGCGGUCGCAGACAUAAAUGUUCAGACCGCAGAAGACUGGAUUGCGACCGCAGACAUAAUUAGUAGACCGCAAAAAUGUUGCCUCGCGGCCGCAACUCAUAAUUGUACGGCCGUAGAAUCCCAGCCCCUGCCAGAUGAAGAAGUCUAUGGACUACACAUGGAAUUGUGCGGCCGCAGAACCUCCCGAGGGAAAAUUUUUGUUCGAGAUUUUCAGAUUUAUAUAAAUAGAAGAGUUUCACGAAAUUAGGUCAAGUUUUGACAUCAGCAAUUACCGUAGCCGUUUUUCUUUGCCUCUUUUGGAAGUUUACUAUAUUUUGGUGUAUUUUACAAUAGAUUUGAUUAUUUUAAGCUUACAUUAUAAGUUUAAUUAGUCUUUCUUCUUUUUCUUUUUCAAACCCAAGCAUGAGUAGCUAGAUUUUUACUAGGGUUGUGACUGAACCCUAGUGUGUUAACCUUAUGGGUAAUUAAAUUAGUGAUUGUUUAUGAUUUGGUAUAUGUUAUUUAGCCUAGUUCAUGCUUUAAUUUGUGGAAUUAAUGGUUGCAAACAUUAGUUCAUGUCUAUUUGACUUAGUCUAUAAUUGAGAAAGAGAGACUUAGUCUGGAAAAACUUGGGUAACAAGGAAUUGGGUCAAUCGAGAGAUUGAUUAACCCAAUUAAAGGGUUCAACCUAGAAAUAGUAAUAACCCGACUUGAGCUUUUAUCAACUUUUGUGUGAUACCCAUUUGGUCUUGAGAAAGCCAAAUUGGGCAAAACCACUCUCUGACCGAGAGGUAUUGAGUGGGUAAUUGAGAGUUGAUAGCUAUAACACACCUCGUCCAACAAAAUAAGCAUUAAGAUCUUUAUCCCAUUAGGCAAACUCCUAGGUAAUGGUCACAACUCUAGGCUUUUUAUCAAUUUGAAAAACCCCCAAAAACAAUCAUCUCUAGUUUUCUUUCUUUAAUUUGCAAUCAAUAGAGUAAAAAUUAGAAAUAGAAAAUCAAUCUUUUGUGGAAGUGAAAUCUUGAUAAUUCAAUCACGCGCAUUAAGAUAUAUACCCCUAACUCCCAUUCUUAGCUCCCUAUGGAUUCGACCCCGACUCUUAGUUGGAUUUUAUUAUUGCAAAUGACCGUUUCAUACCUCUUUUUAGGUGUGCUAUUGGACGCGAUCAAUUUUUUGCGCCGUUGCCGGGGAGUUUAAAACGGUGUUAGCUAUAUAUUUGGGUGUGUUUUUAAAGUAUCUUAUUUUCCUUCCGUGUUACUAAUUUGUUUGAGAAAUCGUAGGUACAACCAUGGCAAACAAAGAGCUCGGAAAUAUUGCUUUGGGGGAUGUAGACAUUGAGGAUGACCAAGUGGAUGAGGUUCCUCUUGAACCUCAAGCCAAUAGAAGAGGUCGAGUGGCUUAUGACAAUGUGCCCUUCCCACCCCCACCUCCACCACGAGCGGCUCCACACCGGGUGUUACCUAAUGAAGGAUAUGCAAGUGCAAUAGUCCUUUCCCGUAUUUGGGCAGGCAACUUUCAAAUCACCAACAUGAUGUUCACUUUGCUAGAGCAACGAGGUUUCUUCAUCGGUGCUCCAAGGCAAAAUGCAUACAAACAUUUGAAGUGAUUUGUGGAUACGUGUUGGGGGAGCAAGCAAAUAAAUGUCUCUGUGGAUGCUUUGAGGCUAAGGAUUUUUCCCUUCUAUCUACAGGGGAAAGCCUUAGAUUGGUUGGAAUGUUUGCCGAACCAUUCCAUUCACACUUGGGAUGAAUUGGUGGAAAAGAUUAUUUCUAAGUUCCUCUCUCCGGGGCACAUGGCUACACUUCGGGAUGAGAUUCUAGCAUUCAAGAAAGAGCCCAAUGAACCACAACACGAGAUAUGGGAGUGAUAUAGAACAAUGGUCAAGGAAUAUCCCAACAACGAUAUGACGGAAAAUAUGAUUCGACAAACCUUCUAUCGUGAGAUUAACACGACCAACCAAUGUGUGGUGAAUCAACUUGCCAGUGGAAAUUUUAUGACUACGCCUUAUGCGGAGGCGUGUGAGAUUUUAGAUGAAAUGGCGGAAACAUCAUCGGCGUGGCAAUCCUGGGCUAAUGUUCCACAAGGUGAUCCCAACGUGAUUCACCUCCACAAAGAGUUGCAUGACCAUGGGCAAUCCAUAGAAGAAUUGACUACCACCAUGAAUCAACUAGCAAAGGCUCAACUUCAACAAGUGCAACAUCCCAGGCAAGUCAAUGCCAUGGAGGGAGUAAACAUGAUGGUGAACAACCGAAAAACCAAGGGUCCACAAGAGCAACAACGAGUGGACAAUUUUGUACAAGAAGAUAGUGGGUUUGAUCAAGAUGAUUAUUACAAUGAACAAGAGGAGGAUGUGCUGCAAUAUGUGAACAACUUUAAAGGGCAAUAAAAUAAUUUCCAAGGCCCAAAUCAACAACAAUGGCGACCUCAAAAUAAUCAAGACAAUUGGAAUUCUACCAACCAAGGUAAUUGGAGUGGUGGAAACAAUCAAGGGAAUUGGCAUAAUAACAAUCAAAGAAAUUGGAAUGGUAAUAAUCAAGAAAAUUGGAUAGGUAAAAAUCAAGGCGGAUAGAACAAUAACCAAGGCAAACGGGGGUCGGGUUUUCAAAGGCCCCCGAUGUAUCAACAACCGAGCAACCCGUCUCCUUAUCCUUCCCAUGGUCCUAGUUCUUCCAAUAAUGAAAUGGGGCGUAUUGAGAACAUGUUCAAGCAAAUGAUGGAAAAGAAUGUCGAUUCGGAUGCCCAACUUGCCUCACCCAACACAUUGAUCGGCAAUUUAGAGGUGCAAAUAAGGCAAAUCUCUCAAGCUCUCAAUUCUCGUCCUAAGGGGGCACUACCAAGUGACACGGUGGUGAACCCAAAGGGUGGGAACAACAUGGGGCAUUCCAUAGCCGUGACUACAAAAAGCGGAAAAAGUGGGAAUUCACCCACCUCAAUUCAAAGGCAACUUGUGGAUGAUGAGCAAGUGGUACAAGAAGAAGAGGUCCCAAAUGAUGUGGUGCAAACAAAUGAUGAGAUUUAGAUUGCUAUUGAUGAUAAUGUGGAAGUGACUCAAGAGAAUGUGAACCCUUCUAGGGAUCACGUUAUUGACAUACUGGAACCGGUAGUGUAAAAGGCUAAGGCACCAUUGCCUAAGACUCCGCCUCCAUAUCCUCAAAGGCUCGCCAAGCAAAAUGGCGAGAAUCAAUUCAAAAUGUUCAUUCAAAUGAUGAAGAGUCUCUCAAUCAAUGUGCCAUUAGUUGAGGCUUUAGAACAAAUGCAUGGUUAUGCAAAGUUUAUGAAGGAUCUUGUGACAAAGAAGCGGUCAAUGAAUUUUGAAACUAUCAAGGUCACUCAUAAAGUGAGUGCAAUUGUGCUUUCAAUGACUCCUAAAUUGGAAGAUCCCGAUGCGUUCAAGAUUUCUUGUACAAUUGGAAGAGCUGAGUUUGCUAAAGCUCUUUGUGAUCUCGAUGCAAGUAUCAAUUUGAUGACCCUAUUCGAUUUUCAAGACCUAGGGAAUUGGGCAACCAAGACCCACAUCUAUGAGAUUGCAAAUGGCUGAUCGUACAAUGAAGAGACCGUUGGGAGUGAUUGAAGAUGUAUUGGUUCGUGUUGAUAAAUUCAUUCUUUCAGCGGAUUUUGUCAUUCUUGAUUGUGAAGUGGAUUAUGAGGUGUCGAUUAUUCUUGAAAGACCUUUCCUUGCUACGGGGAAGGCUCUUUAUGAUGUGGAGGCCGGAGAACUCACCUUCCGGGUGGGUGAUGAAAAAGUGGUAUUCCAUGUGUGCAAAUCCAUAUGGAAACCAAAUAGCAACGAGGUGUGUUCUUUUGUGGACUUGGUGAUCGAUGUUAUUGUUGAUGAUACAAGUGCCACAAUCAAUGUUGGUGAUAUGUUGGAGGCCGUCUUGCUCAAUUUUUAUGAUGACGAGAUGGAUGUCUUCAUGGAAUGUGUGAACUCUUUGCAAGGAAUGGGGUCGUACAAUUAUGCACCUCGAAAACUAUCUUUGGACCUUGAAAAUAGGAAAAAUCCUCCUACAAAGCCUUCCAUUGAAGAGCCUCCUACCGUGGAGUUGAAGCCAUUGCCUCCACAUCUUCGGUAUGAAUUUCUUGGCCCUUGUUAUACUUUGUCGGUUAUUCUUUCUUCUUGUUUGACUAAUAUCCAGGUAGAUUCUACAUUGACGGUGCUACAUAAGAGGAAGAAGGCCAUUGGGUGGACACUGGCGGAUAUUCGGGGAAUACGCCCCGUAUUUUGCAUGCACAAGAUCAACUUGGAGGAAGACGCCAAACCAUUUAUUGAACAUCAAAGGAGACUCAAUGAGGCUAUGCAAGAGGUUGUAAAAAGGAGAUCAUCAAGUGGUUGGAUGCCGGGGUUGUUUACCCCAUUUUCGAUAGUUCGUGGACUUCUCUAGUUCAAUCUUUCCCAAAAAAAGGGGCCAUGACGGUGGUCACUAAUGACAAGAAUGAGUUUAUUCCUACAAGAAUGGUGACCGGUUGGAGAGUGUGUAUGGACUAUCGCAAGCUCAACAAAGUCACAGGGAAGGUUCAUUUUCCACUUCUCUUCCUUGACCAAAUGCUUGAUAGGUUAGCCGGCCGUACUUUCUGUUGCGUUCUUGAUGGAUAUUCGGGCUAUAACCAAAUCCUUAUUGCUCCAGAGGAUCAAGAGAAAACAACCUUUACAUGUCCCUAUGGUACUUUCGCCUUCAAGCGGAUGCCAUUUGGUUUAUGUAAUGCACCGGCAACUUUUCAUAGGUAUAUGAUGGCUAUCUUCACGGACAUGGUGGAGGACUACCUUGAAGUUUUCAUGGAUGACUUCUCGGUGGUUAGGGAUUCCUUUGAUGAUUGUCUUGAAAAUUUGGAUAAAGUGUUGGCAAGGUGUGAAGAAAUGAAUUUGGUGCUAAAUUAGGAGAAAUGUCAUUUCAUGGACGAGAAAGGCAUUGUCCUUGGCCACAAGAUCUCAAAGAAUGGAAUUGAAGUUGACAAGGCAAAGAUUGAGGUGAUUUCUAAACUUUCACCUCCAAUGUCGGUGAAAGGUAUGCGGAGUUUCUUAGGCCACGCAGGGUUUUACUGGCGCUUCAUCAAAGAUUUCUCUAAAAUUAUGAACCCUUUGUGCAAACUUCUUGAGAAAGAUGCAAAGUUUAACUUCAACGAUGAUUUCAUGAGAGCCUUUGAAUUGUUAAAGUUCAAGUUGACAACUACCCACAUCAUCAUCGCUCCAAAUUGGAGUGUCCCCUUUGAACUCAUGUGUGAUGCUAGUGACGUAGCGGUUGGAGCUAUUUUGGGGCAACACAUCAACAAGAUAUUGCAUCUGGUCUACUAUGCUAGUAAGACCAUAAAUGGUGCCCAAGUCAACUAUACCGUUACGGAGAAAGAGCUCAUUUCCAUUGUGUUUUCCUUUGAGAAGUUCCGCCUGUACUUGAUGGGUGCAAAAUUUAUUGUCCACACGGAUCAUGUGGCACUUCGUUAUCUUAUGAGCAAGGAAGAUUCCAAAGCUCGGUUGAUGAGAUGGGUGCUUUUGUUGCAAGAGUUUGAUAUUGACAUCCAAGAUAGAAAAGGGAGUGAAAAUCAAGUGGCGGACCACUUGUCUCGUUUGGAGGAGGAGGGGANNNNNNNNNNNNNNNNNNNNNNNNNAUCAAUGACUCCUUCCCCGAUGAGCAACUCUUGGCUAUUUCAAUGAAGGAGGUGUCAUGGUUCGCGGAUCUAGAAAAUUUCCUUAUGUGUGGAAUCAUCUCGGGUGAGUUCUCUUCAAACCAAAGAAAGAAGUGCAAACGGGAUUGUCAAUAGUAUUAUAGGGAUGAACCAUACCUUUUCCAGAUUUACACGGAUGGGAUGAUUAGAAGAUGUGUACCGGAAGAAGAACAAGGUUAAAUUCUUGGAGCUUGUCAUUCUUCGCCGUAUGGUGGUCACCAUGGUGGGGCAAGAACAGCGGCCAAAGUUUUAAGUUGCGGUCUCUAUUGGCCCACUCUUUACAAGGAUGCAAGUGAUGUAGUGAAAAGAUGUGAUGAAUGUCAACGGGCCGGUGGAAUCUCGAAGAAGAAUGAAUUGCCUCUCACUACCAUUUUGGAGAUUGAUAUCUUUGAUGUGUGGGGUGGUCCUUUUGUGAGUUCUUGUGGAAACACCUACAUCUUGGUCGCAUUUGAUUAUAUGUCUAAAUGAGUUGAGGCCAUUUCUCUACCCAACAAUGAGGCGAGAAGUGUGGUGGUGUUCUUAAAGAAGAAUAUUUCCACAAGGUUUGGUACUCCGAGGGCUAUCAUAAGCGAUGAGGGGUCGCAUUUUUGCAAAAAGACUUUUGACACUUUACUUAGCAUGUAUUGUGUUACUCAUAAAGUCACGACUCCUUAUCAUCCACAAGAAAGCGGUCAAGUGGAAGUCUCCAACUGGGAGAUAAAGAGUAUUUUGUCCAAAAUAGUGAAUGCUAAUCGGACGGAUUGGUCCAACAAGCUUGAGGAUACAUUAUGGGCUUAUCGUACGGCUUACAAAACACCUAUCGGAAUGUCGCCAUCCCGGUUGGGGUUCGGAAAAGCUUGUCAUCUUCCGGUGGAACUUGAGCACAAAGCCAUGUGGGCUCUAAAGAAGUUGAAUCUUGAUUGGGAUGUAGCUGCUAACUUGAGGGUUGCACAUUUGAAUGAAAUGGAUGAGUUCUGCUAUCAUGCUUAUGCAAGUUCGCCCUUGUACAAAGAAAAGAUGAAAUAUCUUCAUGACAAAUACAUUUGGAACAAAGAGUUCAAGGUGGGUGAUCUUGUAUUGUUGUUCAACUCAUGGUUGAGGAUGUUUCCCAGAAAGCUAAAGUCUAAAUCGAGUGGUCAUUUAGAAAUUAUGGGUAUGACACAUUUUGGUGCAUUGGACUUGAAGAACAAAAACAAUGAGGUAUUCCGAGUCAAUGGUCACCGGGUGAAGCACUAUUUGGAAAAAGUUGGAGAUGGCCACGUCGUGGCAGUGAUUCAUUUCAACUGAUAGUAGUAUGCAUCGUGUCGCGACGUUAAAUCAGGCGCUUCUUGGGAGGAAACCCAUGUUUCUUUUUCUUUUCUUUGUUUCUUUUGCAGUUAGGUGUUAUUUUUAUGCUAACUUGAUUUGAAGUAUACUGCAGGGAUGAGUGUGCUUUACAGGAAUUGUGGAUAGAAAUUUGGUUUUAAGUGUUGAAAGAAUUGCGAACCGCAGUUGCAUUGUGCGGGCCGCACAAUUAUGAUUGAUGCAGCAAAAUUGUAUUGCGGCCGCACAAUUAACCUGCGGACCGCACAACUGGAAGAUGAAAAAUGACAACUCUCUGAAGUUGGUCCGUCAGAAAAAUGGCUUAUCUGUGGCCGUAACACACAAUCUUCGGUCCGCACAUUUGAUCUGCGGUCGCACACAAAAAUUUACGGACCGCAAAAUAAAAUAGCAUUUAAGCCCCCAGGUUGUUGAGUGCGGACUGCAAUUGGAAUUCUACGGCUGCACUCGCUUCUCCUUCCCUUGUCAAAAAUCAAUAGGUAUAAAUAGAGGGGCUAGGGCCACUGUUCUCCUUUUCCCUCUUUGAGCACACAACGGGUAUUUUUUUGAAAUCUCUUGUUAAAUCAUCUACCCACACGUCUACAACUGUUGAUCACUCAUUUCUUCACACUCAUUCAUUUGGUAUGUUUCACAAUCUUGUUAAUCUUUUUCAUUUAACUUUUAGAUUUUUAGUAAAAUUUUAGGCCAUUUGUUUGUUGAAUUUGAUUGUACAUACUUGUGGGGGUAAAUAUGUAGUGGGUCAACUAGUACUUGUUAAUUGGGAACUCGGUAAAUGUAUUUUCAUGAUUUGAUGUUGUUUCCAUGUCAAAAUUUGUGCAAAAAAUUGCAUGCCCUAGAUAAAAUUGUCGAACUGUUCGUAAUUGUUGGAAUCUGCGGCCGCACAAGAAAUUGUGUGGUCCGCAGAAGUUGAUUCUAAGUAAGUUUAAUUAAGGAUGAGUCUACGUCCUCAAGGAAAAUUGUGCCGACUGUAGAAUUUCCAUUGCGACCGCAAAAACAUCUCUUUUCCUGUCUUCAAAGAAGGGUGAUAUUUGUGAUUUAAUGUGCAGCUGCAAGACAAAAUGUGUAGUCCGCAAAAAAUAUGUUGCGGUCGCAAAACAACCAAUUCUUUGUUAUCAGAGAGUUGGCAUAUUUGUGGUAUCUGUGUUGCGGCCGCAAGACAAAAUGUGCGGACCGUAAUCCAAAUCUGCGGCCGCAAAAGAAAAUUGUGCGGUCCGCAAGGCCCUUUAUGCGGCCGCAAUGAGAAAUGUGCGGACCGCAAAUCCCUACCCUGCAAGCAUGUUUCAACUGUGUUCCUCACUGUAUUUUCUGGUGUGUCCUUACAUUCAUUGUAUGUCUGAACUUGAAUUGUAGCUAACAAUCGCCUUUGCUUGGUACAGAAAAUGGUUCGAUCUAGAGAAAGAGGCGACACUUCGAAAGGAAGGGGUGACCCUUCUCGGGGAUGAGCUAAGAGACCCUUACCUAGUGCCCAGCAGCAUGAAAUCAGAAAGUAAAUAGCAGCCGGGAGAGGUGCAGACCUUUCCGAGACCAGUUCUUAUAUCCCAUUUAGGGAAGCAUCACAGGGAAACUCAGCCUUUGUACAUGAGCAGACGACUGUCCCGUCAAGGUCGCCAGGGAGGUAUCAACUCAAGGACGAGAUGUCAUCAUCACACAGCACUUUCGAGGGUUCGAAAAGUGCUAGUCAGGCUUCUGAGCCUUCCACUACACUUGUCCCUGAGGCACCAGAGACAUCAGUUCAGGACAUCCCCGAUGAUGGGAGGGGGAGAUGCUACAAUUGCCAGACUAGAAAGGUCGAAGAAGAAAGAGGUAUGGGAAGACAGGUUUGUCAGCUUGGCAAUUUUCUCGAGCUUCCGUGAUUGGUGGCCAAUGAGGUCGCUCACUCCUGAGCGACGGUUUCAGUAGAACGAUCUGGAGAAGUAUAACCCUGCAGUAUUGAUACAGUUUAAAGAAUGCAAAGGGUUGAUGUGGUUUACCUAGAGCGUGGUGGAUGCUAAGGAGUACCUUGUCCAGGAAUUCUACGCCAAUGUGGUACAUAUCAAGAAAGGGACAAAGAUGACGAAAGUGAGAAACCUCAAAGUGCGAUUUGAUCAGCACACAUUGAACACAUACUUGGGAUUUGAUGAUAUCGAGCCCAUAGAGUACUUAGAGAAAUGUGCACUUGGGGAUGCAGCUCGUCCUUGGCUAGCAGAGAUUAUAGCAGGUUCUGAACUACCACCACUGAUCACAAUAGGGGUUUCUAUUCACGGGAGUACUCUGAUCUUUGAAGCAAAGGGGUGGCAGACCUUUGUAUGCAGCAGACUGGACCCAUGCUAGAAUGAGACCUAUCUCCCGAUCCCUCGGGCAAUUCUAGUUGCGUCCAUCAUGGCCGAGUACUCUAGCAAUGUGGGAGCCGUGAUGUCGGCCAACAUCUCUGUGAUCUCUCGGCAAGCUGACACAUCCUACCUGUAUCCCAACACUAUUACAGAAUAUCUUACGGAUGCGAGGGUAGAGCCGAGGGACUUUGAUACAAAGGUGUGGCCGAAGAAACCUUUCACAUGGUACUCACGGAUGGAUGCACACAACCCUAAGAAAAAGGGUCAGUAGUCUAUCACCACAUGCCAGUUUGAUGAGCCAUCGGUGGUAGUUAUAGAGGCAGUUGAUAUUCCAUCCAUUUCGGCCUAGCAUUCAUCUAGUGCCACAGCUAUGCCUCUACCACCAUCUUCAGUUCCCAUUACAGUUCCUGCCACAGGUUCCACCUCGGCUUUGAAGCCGGUGCCCAUGCCUACUGCUUCACUUUCUGCGCUGCGAGUCUCCCAGACAUUGGCAAGCCUCAACUACUGGAUGCAGACAGCCACUGCAAAGUUUUCUAACUUAUCCAGUGCUAUUGCAAUGCAGUCUUCUAUUCCGGCACCUCAGAUGCCCCCAUCAACGGAAGAAAUAUUGAAGAAGCUCCUGAAACACCAGAACACCAUCAUGGCUACAUUGGUACAACAUGGGUCAGUGAUCGAAGAUUUGGGAAAAGAAGUAAAGAAGCUGAGAAAGUCCCAAGCCUCCAAGAAGUCAGUGGACAAGCUUCGGAGACAGGUUACCAAGUUUUCUGCAUCCGGAGGUAUUCCAUUUGACAUGCUGAUUGACCCACACCACCCAGGCCCAGAUCCUACAGCACCAACAACACCGGUGGCACCAGCUGGCCAGUCUGAGGAGCCAGACUCUGCUGCUGACACUGGAGAGGCAGUGCGUCAGAUGUUCACCAACCCAGUCACUCCCAGAGUUGAGGAUGAUGAGAUCCUGUUGGAAGAGACUGAGGGUGGUGACAUUGCUGGGGACACAGAGAUGUCCAAGGAGCCAUAGGGAGUCUUCUUCACUCUUUCCCUUCAUUUACUCUUAUUUUGUUAAGCAUUGGGGACAAUGCUUAAUUUUAUUCAGUGGGUGAAGUUUAUUUGAUCUUAUUUGAUGAUUCUGAGAUAUUUGUCUUGUAAUAACUUGAUACUAUUUUCUUCUUCUUCUCUCAUUAUGUAUAUAUCUUCUCUUUCUCCCUCAUUAUGUAUAUUCGAUAUAAUUUCGAUCGUUUUUACUUUGUAGCUUCUUUAUGUUUGUUUUCUUAUUAGUUAGUGUUUAUUUUAGUAGCUUCUUUUUAUGUUUUAGUAGAUAAUAAGCCUUAGGUUUUCUUAAUGCCAUGGUUCUUUCCAAAGGUAGUUUUUCUGUGAACCGGGUGACUCUUCCCAACGAUGGAUGGUGUGACAACCUUCUUAAGGGACUGAGUCUGUUUUUGGUCUUUAGGUAAUAAUAGUAGUAGUAAUGAAUAAAAAGACCUAAUUAAGUCAUGCUCGAAGAGUCAAACAUGCUUCAUUUGGCACCAACACACUUAACUACGUGCUUAUGGUUAGAAACAAGGUUUUUGGAAGAAAUAGCUCUAGUUAGUGACUUUGUGACUCUUGUGUNNNNNNNNNNNNNNNNNNNNNNNNNNNNNNNNNNNNNNNNNNNNNNNNNNNNNNNNNNNNNNNNNNNNNNNNNNNNNNNNNNNNNNNNNNNNNNNNNNNNNNNNNNNNNNNNNNNNNNNNNNNNNNNNNNNNNNNNNNNNNNNNNNNNNNNNNNNNNNNNNNNNNNNNNNNNNNNNNNNNNNNNNNNNNNNNNNNNNNNNNNNNNNNNNNNNNNNNNNNNNNNNNNNNNNNNNNNNNNNNNNNNNNNNNNNNNNNNNNNNNNNNNNNNNNNNNNNNNNNNNNNNNNNNNNNNNNNNNNNNNNNNNNNNNNNNNNNNNNNNNNNNNNNNNNNNNNNNNNNNNNNNNNNNNNNNNNNNNNNNNNNNNNNNNNNNNNNNNNNNNNNNNNNNNNNNNNNNNNNNNNNNNNNNNNNNNNNNNNNNNNNNNNNNNNNNNNNNNNNNNNNNNNNNNNNNNNNNNNNNNNNNNNNNNNNNNNNNNNNNNNNNNNNNNNNNNNNNNNNNNNNNNNNNNNNNNNNNNNNNNNNNNNNNNNNNNNNNNNNNNNNNNNNNNNNNNNNNNNNNNNNNNNNNNNNNNNNNNNNNNNNNNNNNNNNNNNNNNNNNNNNNNNNNNNNNNNNNNNNNNNNNNNNNNNNNNNNNNNNNNNNNNNNNNNNNNNNNNNNNNNNNNNNNNNNNNNNNNNNNNNNNNNNNNNNNNNNNNNNNNNNNNNNNNNNNNNNNNNNNNNNNNNNNNNNNNNNNNNNNNNNNNNNNNNNNNNNNNNNNNNNNNNNNNNNNNNNNNNNNNNNNNNNNNNNNNNNNNNNNNNNNNNNNNNNNNNNNNNNNNNNNNNNNNNNNNNNNNNNNNNNNNNNNNNNNNNNNNNNNNNNNNNNNNNNNNNNNNNNNNNNNNNNNNNNNNNNNNNNNNNNNNNNNNNNNNNNNNNNNNNNNNNNNNNNNNNNNNNNNNNNNNNNNNNNNNNNNNNNNNNNNNNNNNNNNNNNNNNNNNNNNNNNNNNNNNNNNNNNNNNNNNNNNNNNNNNNNNNNNNNNNNNNNNNNNNNNNNNNNNNNNNNNNNNNNNNGAUGAAAUGACCCUUUCACUUGUGGAGGUGGGAACUAAAUUGUUUGCUUGAGGACAAGUAAAGACUUAAGUUUGGUGGAGUUGAUAAGUGGGGAUUUUGACAACUUAUUAGCGCCUUUUACCUUUUGUUUUAGUAUAAAAGAAUUGAAUUGUGUUCCCGAAACUAAUGAAAUAUGCAAAAUUGCAGGAAUGCUGGAAGUUGGACUCCCGAGAUGAAAUCCGGCUGAAAGAGGAGAAGUCCAAGCACAAGACAACAAAAGGGCACAGAAGCAUACAAAGUGCAGUACGCAAAAGCAAUUGCGGAUCGCAUAAUUCCACCUGCGGCCGCAAAUAAAGAAGCGAAAUUCAGUAGAUAUUUGUGUGAAUUGCGGAACGCACAUGAAUUGAGCGGCCGCAAGACCUGGGCUAGGACUCAAGUUCAAAGAGUGUGCAAAUUUCUAAGUCCCAAGUCCCUGUAAAUUGCGGACCGUACAAGAAUUGUGCCGCUAAAGAAGAAGUGCCUUACGACCGAAGACAUAAAUGUGCGGACCUCAGAAUACUGGAUUGCGUCCACAAACAUAAUUUGUGGACCGCAAAAAUGUUGCCUCGCGGCCGCAACGCAGAAUUGUGUGGCCGCGAAAUCCCAGCCCCUGCCAGAUUAAGAAGUCUGCAGACCGCACAUGGAAUUGUACGGCCGCAGAACCUCCCGAGGUGUAUUUUUGUCAGAGAUUUUCAGACUUGUAUAAAUAGAAGAGUUUCACAAAAUUAGGUCAAGUUUUGACAUCAGCAAUUACUGUAGCCAUUUUUCUUUGCCUCUUUUAGAAGUUUACUAUAUUUUGGUGUAUUUUACAAUAGAUUUGAGUAUUUUAAGCUUACAUUAUGAGUUUAAUUAGUCUUUCUUCUUUUUAUUCUUAAUACCCAAGCAUGAGUAGCUAGAUUCUUACUAGGGUUGUGACCCAACCCUAGUGUGUCAACCUUAUGGGUAAUUAAAUUAGUGUUUGUUUAUGAAUGGGUGUUUGUUAUUUAGACUAGUUCAUGCUUUAAUUUGUGGAAUCAAUGGUUGCAAACAUUAGUUCGUGCCUAUUUGACUUAGUCUCUACUUGAGAAAGAGAGACUUAGUCUAGGAAAACUUGGCUAACAAGGAAUUGGGUCAAUCGAGUAAUUGAUUAACCCAAUUAAAGGUUUCAACCUAGAGAUAGUAAUAACCUGACUUGAGCUUUUAUCAACUAUUUUGUGUGAUACCCAUUUGGUCUUAAGAAAGCCAAAUUGGAAAAAAUCACUCUCUAAACGAGAGGUAUUGAGUGGGUAAUUGAGAGUUGAUAGCUAUAACACACCCCGACCAACAAAAUAAGCAUUAAGGUCUUUAUCACAUUAGGCAGACACCUAGGUAAUGGUUACAGCUCUAGGCUUUUAUCAAUUUGGAAAAUUCCCAAAAACAGUUAUCUCUAGUUUUCUAUAUUUAAUUUGCAAUCAAUAGAGUAAAAAUUAGAAAUUGAAAAUCAAUCUUUUGUGGAAGUGAAAUCUUGAUAAUUCAAUCACGCGCAUUAAGAUAUAUACCCCUAACUCCCAUUCUUAGCUCCCUGUGGAUUCGACCCCGACUCUUAGUUGAGUUUUAUUAUUAUAAACGACAGUUUCAUACCCCUUUUGAGGUAUGCUAUUGGACGCGAUCAGCAGUGAGGCUGCUUCAGGAGGCACUUACUCGAACAUGUAUCUCCGGGCCUGUUUUGGGCACAAACACUUCUUUACGGAGUCCCUGGCCGGAGAAAAGAAUAAGAGGGCAAAGAUUGAUGCCUCUGAGUCAUCUCCGGUGGCGAUGGUGAUUGGUCCUCCUUCCGGGUCAGUCAUAGACACUGUGAUGAUUGAUGAUGAUGAAGAAGCUAGUGAUAAGAGAGCUUCUCUACUUAGAAGACAACGAUCCUCAUCAUCUCAACAGGAUGUUCGACCUGUUGAGAGAGUUACACCAACCGAGGACGUUGCCUCGGCACUUUGGAGAGAGUUUGAUUUGGUAGAUAAUGUCAACUCCCAUUUUCGGGCCCUAAUUAUUGUGCCCGGUACUUAAGGGCUGAGUACCUGCUUCUUGCCGUCUUUGGUUGGCAAGCAUCCAACAACCAGUACUGCAUUUGAUGCAACUGCUUCUCAUUCUUCAAUUCCAUCAGCUUCAUCUCCAUCUUUACCAGUACCAGCAACUGCUACAUCAUUUUCAUCUCCAUCCACUCUUCCACCAGCAGUUGCUACAUCGCCUCCACCGGUCGUACCUGACCAUGAAAAGGGUGUUCCUCUUCCACAAUCCCCAGUUCAUGGGAAUUUGGGGCAAAAUUAUGCUGCCCCUUCUGAAGAUCCACAAAGGAGGAGGAGCGUUACUCUUUCGAUAUCUACCGGAUGCAGCUUGUUAUUCCGGUCGAUGGAGCUUGCUAAUUAUCUGAAGCCUUUGGCUUCAGAGAAAGACUGGGAAAAGAUUUAGGCACUCUCAGGAGAAUGUUUGUUGAACAACGCCAUGCACAAUGCCGCAGCGGUAUGUUCCUUUAUUCCUUUGUUAUUUCUUCUACUUUUGUAUCAAUGUAUUCUAAGUUUUACUUAUUCUUAUUUUGUAGGCCAACUUUCUUGCUUUUGAGGUCCUUCAGAGGUUGAUUAGUGAGAAGGAGGAACUUACUUCUGAACGGAAUCAACUUUUGAUGGAACGGGACCAAACUGUUAUCCGCCUCUCGGAACUGGAAACCAAAGCUACUGAGGUCGUUGUUUUUUAUGCUCGUUUACAGCAAAGCGAGCAAGAAGUGGUAACCCUUAGCCAAGAAAUUUUCCCGUUGAGGGUUAGAUUUGAUAAAGCCAAGGCCACAUGGGCUGAAGCUCAUGACGUCGUUCUUGCUGCAACUGAGCGCGAGGAUGCCUCCGCUGAAAGAGUGAUUAACUUAGAGACAACCUUGAACUCUAAAAUUGAAGCGCUUGCUGUUGUGGGAGCGGGGCCAAACACGCCCAGCUAGAAGAGAAGUACAAGAAAACUAUCGAGCAUAAUAGGCUCUUUAGUUCAACUGUCCGCGACCUUGAUGUCAGCCUCAAAUCUACUAGGUCCGCCCGGGAAAACCUUUCUGCCGAGGUAACCCAACUCAAAGAAGAACUCAAGCUCCGAGAAGCUUCCCCUCGUUGUUGAAAAAACUUACGCCAUGUACAGCAUGAGGAGAAAAAUCUUGGAACAGGCCAAAGUUGGUGUCAUUGACUUUGAUGCCGAAAUUGCUAAGGCACGCGAGCUUGAGUUAGCUGCUAAAAGUAAACUCCCAUCGAGGUCUGAUGUACCUGGUCCUUCUGGUUUUGGUUCCGAAUUUUCGGGAACUGAAGAAGAAUCGGAAGAUGAUGAUGCCAAAGGCCAAACUGAUGAAAAUGUUGAGCCACCGGUGGACCCACCUACUUCUCCCGGGGAUGCGGACACUUCACUUCCUCCUGGUUUCGGAGGCACUGCGGUUUAGAUUUUCUUUUCUUUUUCCCAUUUGGUAUUUUACCGUUUUGGCACGUUCUUGUAAAUAAAGACAUAUUUUUGCGCAAGUAUUGUUUGAGUCUUACUUUCAUUUGAAUAUCCAUGCAAGUCUUUAACCUUUGCAUUUGCUUAAGAAUUCUGUGCACGUUUUUCUGUUCGCGCUUUACUAUGUGUAGUCUCGGAUACAUUUUCCUCGAAACACUUUGGUUUCGAGCAUUAUUCCUUUUACGUGAGGGUUUCUAUAAGUAUUUGCGCAAGUUUAUUUUUUGCGUCCUUUUGUGUAUGUCUUUGGGUGCAUUUUUCCUCGAAGGCACUUUGAUUUCGGGCAUAAAUUCUUUCGAUACCAACCCUUUAACGUGAGGGUUUUCAUAAGAGGCUGCUCUCUUAUGUUUAGGGUGCUCUUGAAGAGGACGUCUCCUGUUCAUUACGGCACUAACAUUUGAAGUACUUGUUUAACUUUCAAAUGACAAAGUUAGUUUAUCGUGCAGACAAGUAACAAGAUAAAAAUAAAAGGAUUUCUUUUCAUAUAAUUCCUUCUAUUUUCAAAAGUACACAAGCAUUUAUUAUGCUAAGAAAUUGCCAUUACUUGUGGAUAUCUUUGUACAACUUGUCUAUACGGGGCUGGAUGCGCAGUCCCCGGUCUCGAUGAUGUAUUUGGUUUCCAGAUUUUCAGUUCCUGGUUGGCGUGGCAGUCAAUGUUGUCGUAUCCGCAUAUCAUUACCCCCCUCCCCCUCCCCCCCGCCAGUGUUCGAAUGCGAAGAAUGUGAAUUGGAACACUGGAAGUCUUAUGCCUUCAAAGAUCCCACCAAUGAAUUGCUAGAUAAUCCUUAACUCGGCAACAUACCUUACUUCCCCUUAGGAAUCCAUGCUAUCGAGCGAAAGAAUAUCUAACAAUCCUCUAGCAACUUGUGCUCGUGAACAGUCGGGUAACCUCUAUUCGGUAGCAAACUUAACUUCCCAGUGGGAAUUUGCUAUCGAACCAAAGAUUAUCUAACUGUCCCCGAGUGGAAGAUUAUUUGUUUGCCUUGCUCUCAAAGGACUUAUUGUUGUUGUCUUCGUAGUAUGCUUUCUAUCGCUGCCUCAUUAAAAACCUUGCCAGAAAAACCCAAUUGGGACAAAAACUGAACGAAGGGAAAAAGAGUGCAGCACAUACUUUCUGCUUUAGUAAUGUUUAUCAACAAUAAUAUCUUUUGAGGUGUGCCACGUUCCAGUUGCUAGGCAACUUGUCUCCACUCUGGUUCUCCAACUCGUAUGAACCUUUCCCAUGUUAAAGACCUCCCCACGUUGAACCUAGUUUCCCUGCGUUGAGCUCCCGAGUAUUUUGGGUUACUUUCUUCAUAACCAAAUCUCCUACUUUGAAAUAACGGAGGUUGGCUCUUCGAUUAUAAUAUUGCUCCAUUCUCUGCUUUUGAGUUGCCAUUCUUACACGCGCCAAGUCUCUGAGUUCCUCGAGCAGUUCCAAGUUGACUAACAUUGCUUCAUUGUUCGAUUCUUCAUCUGCCAGAAAAUAUCUCAAAGUGGGUUCGCCCACUUCCACUGGGAUUAGGGCUUCAGCAUCGUACACAAGGGAAAAAGGCAUUUCUCUUGUGCUCGAUUUGGCCGUUGUUCGGUAGGCCCAUAGAACUCCGGGAAAUUCUUUGGGCCAUUUGCCUUUUGCUGCUUCCAACCUUUUCUUGAUGUUUUGAAUAAUCACUUUGUUUGUUAACUCCGCUUAACCGUUUUUGCUCGGAUGAUAAGGAGAAGAUGUGAUCCUCUUUAUCUUCAAAUCUUCGAGGAACUUUGUAACUUUUGCACCGAUAAACUAUGGCCCAUUGUUGUAUUCUAUCUCUUUUGGUAUUCCGAACCUUCAAAUUAUAUUUUUCCACAAAAAAUCCACCACUUUGCGUUCUCUGAUAUUCUGAUAAGGACAUGUUUCUACCCAUUUAGAAAAAUAGUCAGUCAGAAUUAAAAGAAACCUUACCUUUUCGGGAGUCGGUGGCAGUGAUCCAACGAUGUCCAUCCCCCAUUUCAAGAACGGCCAUGGGGACAGAACCGAAUAUAAGAAUUCUACCGAUUGGUGUACUAGUGGUGCGUGGCAUUAGCACUUAUCACAUUUUUGUACGAAGUCUUUGGCGUCUUGUUCCAUGCGAAGCCAGUAAUAUCCUACCCGUACCAACUUCAGCACCAAAGAAUAUGCGCCCAAGUGAUUGUCGCAUAUCCAUUCGUGGACUUCUCUCAUGACAUAAUUAGCUUCUGAUGCUUAUAAGCACCGGGCCAGCGGGCCUUGGAAGGAUUUUCUAUACAAUUGGCCUCUCCUGAAGCUAUAACAUGCAGCUUUGACGUGUAACGCUCGUGAUGCUUUGGGGUCUUCGGGUAAAUUCCCAUGCUCGAGAUAGUCGUUUAUUUCAUUUCUCCAAUCGCAGACCAGACUAGUCGAAUUUACCUCACAGUAAGCAUUUGUAUCCAGGACUGAGUUCAUUAGUUGCAUUACCAUCCCGAACUCUGAUCCCUUUAUUUCCGUCGACGAUCCUAAUUUUUCUAAUGUAUCCACUUCUGCGUUAUCCUCCCUCAUGAUAUGAGUAAUUGACCAUUCCCAGAAUCGUGCCAAAAAAAGCCUGGACCUUUACCACGUAUUGUUGCAUACGUUCUUCUUUGGUAUCAAAGAUCCUAUAGACCUGAUUUACCACCAGCUGCGAGUCACAUUUGAUUUCAAUAACCUCGGAAACAAGUCCUCGGGCUAAUUCGAGCCCUGCAAUCAAAGCUUCGUAUUCUGCUUCAUUGUUAGUUAAAGGGAUCGUUUUGAUGGCUUGCCUUAAGGUUUCCCCCGAAGGCGUGAUUAAGACUAUUCUGAGUUCGAACUCUUUUACGUUGGAAGCUCUAUCCCUAAAUAAGGUCCAAACCCCCGAUGUCGAUUCUGACACCAUUACUGCCUUCUUGGUUGCCAGAGGCAGAAGUGCUGGACUGAAAUCGGCCACGAAGUCAGCUAAGACUUGUGACUUAAUUGCAAUCCUUGGUUUAUAUUCUAUGUCGAACUCACUCAUUUCGACGGCCCAUUUGUCCAAUAUACCCGAGAUCUGGGGUUUAUAGAGGAUGUUCCGCAAAGGAAAAGUAGCCACCACAGCUAUCGGGUGACAUUGAAAAUAGGGCCUCAACUUCCGAGUAGCGACUACGAGAGCUAAGGCUAGUUUUUACAAAUGUGGGUAGCGAGUUUUUGCUCUCGUUAAAAUUUUGCUAAUAUAACAAAUGGGAAAUUGCGUACCUUCAUCCUCUCGGACUAAAACUGCACUUACCGCAACUUCUGAAACUGCGAGGUAGACUAGCAAUCUUUCACCUUCUUUUGGUUUUGAGAGCAAUGGAGGGCUUGAUAAGUACUUCUCCAGGCCCCUUAGAUCCUGUUGGCACUCCGGUGUCCAUUCAAAAUUAUUUUUAUUUUUGAGCAGUGUGAAGAAGCGAUGACAUUUUUCCGACGACCGGGAAAUGAACCUGCUCAAAGCUGCUAAUCUUCUUGUGAGCAUUUGGACUUCUUUUACGUUCGACAACUGAUCCGGGAUAUCCUCUAUGGCCUUGAUUUUGUCGGGGUUCACCUCAAUUCCUCUUUGUGAGACCAGAAAUCCCAGAAACUUACAAGAACUGACCCCGAAUGCGCACUUCUCGGGAUUAAGUUUCAUGUUAUGCUUCCUCAGGAUGUAGAAUGUUUCUUGCAAAUGCUUAAGGUGGUUACCUGCAUUCAAAGACUUAACGAGCAUAUCGUCUAUAUAAACUUCCAUAUUCUUUCCUAUUUGCUUUUUAAACAUCUUAUUUACGAGCCGUUGAUAAGUGGCUCCGGCGUUUUUCAACCAGAAGGGCAUCACAUUGUAACAAUAUGUACCGAAAUUCGUUAUAAACGAAGUCUUUUCCUGAUAUUCCGGGUUCAUCUUGAUUUGGUUGUACCCGGAAUAAGCAUCGAGGAAACUCAUUAACUCAUGCAUGGCCGUGGCAUCAAUCAUUUGAUUGAUAUUUGACAGUGAGACCGAGUCUUUCGGGCACGCCUUAUUAAUGUCUUUAUAGUCUACACACAUGCAAAAUUUAUUGUUCUUCUUCGGAACUACUACUACAUUGGCUAGCCAGUCCGGAUAUCUUACCUCUCGGAUCGAACCGAUGUUAAGCAAGCAGGUUAUCUCUUCUUUGACGAAUGUAUUCCUGGCCUCAGCAAUAGGGCGUUUCUUUUGUCUUACUGGAGGUACGUUGGGAUCCAAACUCAGCUUGUGCACGGCUACUUCCGUCGGGAUACAUGUCAUAUCCUCGUGCGACCAUGCAAAACAAUCGGUAUUAAAUUUAAGGAAUUCAAUAAAACCAUACCUGAGCUCCGGGUGCAGUCAUGUCCCCAAAUGGAAUUUUCUUUCUAGGAAUUCUUCGAACAAUGCAACUUGCUCCAGUUCCUCCAUCGUGGACUUCGUUGUGUCCGUCUCUUAUGGAACUUGGAAAUAUCUCGGCACCUAAUAAUGUUCUGGCAACUCUGCUCCCGAGCUAACUUCUUCUAGCUCGGGAAUAGGUGUAGGUUCCUGUAAUUGCUAUGCCGUGUUCUCCUUCCCUUUGCUACUGGAAACAGAAAUUGCAUUCAUCUCUUUUGUUGCCGGUUGAUCACCUCUUAUCUGCUUGAUUCCUUCGGGCGUUGGAAACUUCAGCAAUUGGUGAUAUGUUGAGGGUACAGCUUCCAUCUCGUGUAACCAUGGCCUUCCUAGGAUGAUAUUGUAUCCCAUGUCACCGUCUAAUACUUCGAAAAGAGUUGUUUUCAUUACUCCUUCAGCAUUCGUGAGCAGCAAAAUCUUUCUUCUGGUCGUUACGCUCGCAAGGUUGAAUCUAGCGAGGAGCUUUGUUGCCGGAAUAAUGCUUCAGGUAAGUUUAGCUUGCUCCAAUACUCUCCAUUGUAUGAUAUUAGCCAAACUUCCUAGAUCCACUAGAACACGCUUAAUCUUAAAAUCCAACACAUUUAAAGAAAUUACCAGUGCAUCGUUGUGUGCUAACAGCAAUCCGUCUGUGUCCACCUCCGUGAAAGUGAUAUAGUCUUCCCGGAGUCUUUUACUAUAAGUUAUUGAUACUUUUGUCUUCUUCGCUGCCGAAAAGGUGACCCCGUUAAUCUCAUUCCCUCCGUAGAUCAUAUUGAUCGUUUGGUGUGAGGGUUCUUCUCUAGCUUUUGAAGGUUCCACGUUAUCUCUGUUAAGACCAUAAUUGUUCUUAACUCGGUCACUCAAGAAUCCUUCGAGGUGACCAUUAUUCAAUAGUGUUUCCACCUCUUCCCGGAGGUGUCGGCGAUCCCCUAUUCGGUGGCCAUUCGUCCCAUGGUAUUCACACCAUAAGUUGGGAUCCAUCUGGCUAGAAUCGGAUCUCAUAGGUCUCGGGAAUCGCGCUUCUUUGAUGUUUCUCAUGGCUGACACCAACUCCAUUAUACUGACGUUGAAGUUAUAUUCCGAUAACUUGGGGUAAGAAGGAUACCGAGACCCCGAUGUCUCUUUAUCCUGAAGUGAUCUGUUGUUUUGACCACGAUCGGUCCCUCUAUCAACGGUGAACUUGUUUGUUGCCUAGAAGUUUUUUCCACGGCCUUCGGUCCGCUCGUAAGGCAAAAACCGACCCCUUGAAGUCCAUUUGUCUGCAUCGUAGUCAUCCUUUGAUUUUUAUCUACUCUUCUCCCGUCCCUUGGCCGAUGAUGUAGAACCGACCUGGUCAUCUUCGAUCCUUAUCUUUGACUCGUACCGGUUGUGGACAUCUGCCCAAGUUGUUGCUUGAAACUCAAGCAGGCUCUCCUUCAGUUUUCGGGAAGCGUCUGAGCUUCUCGGAUUCAAUCCUUUGGUGAAUGUUUCAGCUACCUAUUCAUCCGGGACAGCCGAGUGCAACAUUCUUUCUUUCUGGAAUCGGGUAACGAACUCUCGUAAUAAUUCGGGUUCUCCCUGUGUGUUCCUGAAUAUGUCGGCCUUUCGGGCUUGUACUUUUCUAGGCCCGGCAUAAGCAUUGAUGAAAGAAUCCGCGAGCAUCUCAAAGGAAUCUAUGGAAUGCUCGGGUAAUAAUGAAUACCACGUUAGAUCUCCCCUCAUGAGAGUUUCUCCAAAUUUCUUCAACAACACACAUUCAAUUUCGUGAGGAGCUAAAUCAUUUCCUUUUAUCGCCGUUAUGUAGGUAGUAAUAUGCUCCUGUGGGUUUGAAGUCCCGUCAUACUUUGGCAUUUCAGGUAUUUUGAACCGCUUUGGGACUAGUUCUGGUGUCGCACUCGGCUUGUACGGCAAUUAAGUAUACUUCUUCAAGUCUGGGCCUCAAUACUGGUGAUGUGCCCGGGAUCUGUUCCAUGUGGGUGUUUACUUCCCUCAUAAACUGUAAAAGUUCAUUCUUGAACGGGUCGUUCUCGUUGUUGAGAUUGGGUCUGUUCCCCCAGCCCCGUCAGAGCCAACUUCACCUCUGGGAGUGUUGUUGUCGACUCUCUGCGUUGUUUGGUUUGCGGGAACACCGGGAGGAAUUGGAUCUCGUCUGUUUGCAUUAUUUGAAGCCCCCGAUAGCGCCUGCUUCAGCUCCGUCAUAACCUUAUCCUGCCACGUGGGAUGAACUAGAAUGAUUGUCGGUUGCUCUUGCAGGACCCUCACCGCAUCCACGACAUGUUCCUCAUCAGCAUCAUCGGGAGUUGUCUCCUGAACCUAUCGAGGGUUCUGCCUGUCAUGCACCGGGUGGCAUCAUUUCCCUCAUUGCGGGUGUCACUAAUUGAAUCCUCGAAAUGAGGUUGAUCCCCUCAAAUUUCAGGGUUGAACAUGUUGUUAAUAGAGUUAUCUGCCAUUUUGUGAUUUUUUCUAAGACAAAACAAUCAAAUCACGCUAGUAAAAAAGACAAGGAUCAAUUUAAUUGCACGGUUCUCUAGGUCCCACGGUGGGUGCCAAACUGUUUACCCGUAAAACAGUACAGUUGAAUUUAUACGUGGUUUCUAGAUGACAAUAUCUUUCCUUCUCAAUAGAUGAAACAACAGAGAUGACGAUAUCUUUCCUUCUCAAUAUUGUGGUGCAAGUGACGUUUCAAACUCUCAAGGACUUGAAAAAAAAACAUCAAAUGAUAAUCAUAAAGUCGAUUCAACCUUCUAGCAAUUGUUUCGAGCCAUGAACUGUGAAAAUUACCUAAGUUAAAAUAUCACUCUGAUUAAUUACAUAAGUAGUUUAUUUGCAUCCAAUUUACUAUUGAAGAAGAAAAGUAAAUUUUAAAUUAAUUAGAUAAGUCGUAAUUGACAAUACAUCAACCUUUAUAGAUGAAUACAAAGAACAGAGAAUGUAAUUCUUGUUGGAAGUAAGAAUUUUGAACUAAAAAAAGUUCUCCAUAUCUCCUAUCCUGCUAGAAUUUUCCAGUCCGAUUUCCAGUAACCGCGCCUUACCCUGUUUCCAUGUGUAGGGACGGCACCACAUAAUGGUUGUGUGUACACGGCAUACACACACCACUAGAUACGGACAUUUGAUAGGGGAGAAAACAUACUUGUUGCAUAGUUGCAUAACGUUAAAAGUGUGUCUCAACGUACCAUUCCCGAAUGCACUAAUGAGAAAUUUUCUUUAAACAUGUAGUUAAGAGUAAUAAUGAUGCAGUUAAGAGUAAGGUUUGUAGUGAAAAUAUCACUGACGCAAAUUCUUAAGACAUUUUUACAGAGCAGAAAACCCAUGCUCGAUAUUGGCAUGUGUACCUAAAAGUAAAUGGCUUAAGCUCACGAGUGCAAACAUGGAAUGGAAAAAGGAAAGAUUUGGUGCAUGCCACACUCAAAGCUGAUUAUAUAUCAAAUUGCCCGUGAUUCACUGGAUCAAACUACAAAUGCAACAGAAACCAACUUCUGAUGGCAUUUCGAAGAUACAAGUUAAAUCAGGGGUAUGUUCAUUCGAAUCAUCACAACCAAUAGGCAACCCAAUUUCUUUCUCCAGAUAUUCAAUUGCAUGAAGCUGAAAAUAAGUGAACAAGGAAACAAUACCAAGAUGAACAGAAUAGAGCUCUAUUAAAUUCACAGCUGAAACUAAACACACCAGAAAUCAACUUAGAGUGCAUUUGAAACCAAAAGGGAGAAAUUACUUCUACCAAAGGUAAUGGAAGGUGGAUGAAUCCAGCUUAGAAGUACACCCACUGCCUCAAACUUCAAUACGAUAUAUUACUACUCAAACUAAAUUAAGUUUUACUAAUAUGAAUCCUUCGCGUUCAUUCUGCUACAUCUGGACUCCUUUCAUUAACUACUCAAUAAUCUGUCCUUGGAUUUCUAAAAUUCGGGAUUCUCUAAGUAUCCCAUGUAUCCUCCAUCGUCCAAUCUAUAACCAAGUUUAAAACACUCCUGAUAAAUACCAGGGCCUAAUGUAAGUGUGCCAAUAACAAUUAACCUUAAUCCAAGUUAGUUCCUUUUGACAACAAGGAUACUUUGAUUACUGUUCCAUACUUACAAAGCAUAGCCUGUUUGGCCAAACUUCUAAAAUUAGUUUAUUUUGAGAAGUGUUUUUUUCAAAAGUACUUUUCAAAAAAUUAUUUUUGAUGAGAAGCAGUUUGUGUUUGGCUAAUUAAUUUGAAAAUCACUUUUGAACAGUAAUUAAUUUUUGACCAAGCUUUUGAAAACUACUUUUAAGUGUAUUUUUCUCAAAAGUAUUUAUCAGAAAAGUAUUUUUGGAGAGUGCUAUUUUUUUCUGUUUCUCAAAAACUGCUGGUUCUCAAAAAAGGCACUUUUUUCUAUCUAAAAGUUUUGGCCAGACAAUUUAUUUUUGGCCAAAAGUACUUUUGACCAAAAAAAAUUAAAACACUUUUGCCCAAAAAAAAAAAAACUUGGCCAAACAAACUAUUAAUGUGUAUGGAUUGAAAGAAAUUGUUCCAUGUAACUUUAAGACUACAUGUAUUAAUAAUAUACAUGUAUUUAUGCAUCAAAACUUCUAGAGAUGACUGUAUAUAGUAUACAUUAACAUGUGUAUCCACAGUCCACUAUACAGAUUCCUUUCUACAGUCGCAUGCUAAUCAAUAGAAAAUCCAUACACUCCCAGAUUAUACGCAGAGACAAAUUUUACAGAGCUGAAUAUCCAAAUGCAUUACUAAAUGAAUCUUAAUCAUUCCACUUAAGUAAAAAACAUUAUCCCAUUCCAAUGGUUUCAGUACUGAAACCUGCUGAAAUAACAACUGGCCAGAAAAUUAAAACUACAAUAUACCGAAGAACAUAUCCCAAAGUAUAAAAUACGCUCAUCCAAAGCACAAGAGAAGGCUCCUUAACCUCAAUUACUGUAAACAUUUAAAACGAAAUUAAGAGUUUUCUAGACUUACAAACCAUCUCACUCGGAACGAUUAGCAUACCUCUCCACCUUAUCAUCAAGAUUAAUUCCAACCAUNNNNNNNNNNNNNNNNNNNNNNNNNNNNNNNNNNNNNNNNNNNNNNNNNNNNNNNNNNNNNNNNNNNNNNNNNNNNNNNNNNNNNNNNNNNNNNNNNNNNNNNNNNNNNNNNNNNNNNNNNNNNNNNNNNNNNNNNNNNNNNNNNNNNNNNNNNNNNNNNNNNNNNNNNNNNNNNNNNNNNNNNNNNNNNNNNNNNNNNNNNNNNNNNNNNNNNNNNNNNNNNNNNNNNNNNNNNNNNNNNNNNNNNNNNNNNNNNNNNNNNNNNNNNNNNNNNNNNNNNNNNNNNNNNNNNNNNNNNNNNNNNNNNNNNNNNNNNNNNNNNNNNNNNNNNNNNNNNNNNNNNNNNNNNNNNNNNNNNNNNNNNNNNNNNNNNNNNNNNNNNNNNNNNNNNNNNNNNNNNNNNNNNNNNNNNCCGGCCAUAAUCGAAUUGUGUGUGUGUGUGUGUGUGAAAGAGAGGAACAGAGGAAGAGAAAGGAGGAGAUAGGAAAUGAAAAGGUGGUGGAGGACAAUAGGAGUAAAGUGGCUAGGGAUUCUGUGUCUGAGGAUUUCUACCUUGUUUAUAGGAGUAGUAACUGCUAUAAUUUUUUAAUAAUAAUUGGCCUUUUUAAUUCUGAAAAUAUCUUCAUUGUUUAUACACCAAACAAAAUCAACAUAUUUCCUCAUCAGUCCUCCUUUUCCCUUGUUUCAUUGUUUGUUUGUGAUAAACAAUUUUAUAUGUAUUGUGGGAGUGGGAAAGAGGAACUUUAUUUACAUACUAUAUUUUUUUAUUUUAAUUUGGUGUUCAAUUUUUUUAUUAUGCUCCAGUUAACUCAAAUUUGCGUUGCAUAAAUCUUACUGUUUAACUUCAAAAUCGGAUAACAAUUAAAUUUAUAAGUAAUUUUAAGGAUACGUGGACUAACUUGAUACAAAAUGAUAAAUUAGAUCGUAAUUGAAAUAAAUAAUGACAAAAUAAAUGCAAACCACACGAAUUGAAUAGUAUCAGCCUUGGAAGGUUAGCCAACCUCGAGUCGGGUACGCUUUGAUCGGUGUCACAAGAGCUUAAAGAUAAAUAAUAACAAUGUAUUGCUUUGGGAUGCAUGUUACCAUCUCCUCAAUGAAUUAUCAGACCUCCCCCCUUUAUAUAGUAGAGGAGUCCUACUUUAGGUACAAUUCUAUAAAAGGUAAAAGUCCAUUGAUUAGCUAAUUGCCGGUUACUUACUGGUACGCGCCGAGUCCUGCCGUAAUACCCGAUCGGUAACGGAUAUUUCGGUCUUAUGUUGGUUAUGCUAACAAUAAUUCUUCGAGCUCGAUCGGGGCUAAGGUCGACUCCGGGAUUACGGAUUCAAUAUUCCCGAAGACAAGCGUUCUGACCCCGAGUUCUAACUCGGUGGGACUCGGGGUCGAUCUUCAGUCUUUGGUUGUCAUGUUUCGAGCCUAACUUGCCAUGUCGUAAUCGAGCUUGAUUCGGACCAUAUACAAAUAGUCCCCUCAUUUUUCGAAGACUAGACGACGAGAAACGACAUGACCUUUCGAUUCUCUCUUCGACACCACAAAACAGAAACGACAAAACAGUCGAAACGUCUCGCCAGUCAAGUCUUAAUGGCAUUAAAUGUUUGUCAGUUGUUGGUCGACCACUCCUGGAUGCGAACCGUCGUUGAAAAACUAUAAAUACCCCCUCAUUUGCUCAUUCAAACUUUACAUUCAAAGCUUCUGCCCCUGUACCUUAGCAAUUUCAAUAUUUUCAGGCACUUAUAUUUGAGAUCUUUUUAUAAGAACUUCUGUUUCGUCUUCAUCCCAAACCAUUAAGUGUACUCUUUUAACUUACUCUUUUUCCUUAUAUCCUCUCCAUAAAGAAAUGGCAAAAACUUCCAAAAUUGUUCCCCAAAAAGAAACUCCUUCUACCUCGCGGCCGACUACCGAAGAGACCAAUUCACGUACUGUUAUCGAGGAACCAGCACUGGAACCCCCUCUAAAAAUGUUCAUCCCGUGGGGUGCCCGAUCAGUGCUGAUUUUAAAGUCGAAAAGCCCUCCUCCAUACCAGGCCGGUGUGAGGAGGUCUCGAGGUACAUCUGCUCGAUCACCGAGGAUAUUCUCUUCAAAGUCAAGAAGGAUUGUAACUGGGUUGACAAACAUGUGGUGGUUCCCGAACCUGACGAAGCCAUCACCACCCACGUCGAGGAAUUUUUAAGUGGUUACACUUAUCCCUUCACGUUGGGCCCCUUGGACCCGAUUAUCAUCGACUUUUACAAAAGACACGAGGUAACCCUCGGUCAAAUUCACCCUUCUUUCUGGAGGAUCGCAAUCCUCCUCCGUUUCUUUUUAAGAUAGAUCGAAGGGUUCCCUUUCACGAUCGACCAUCUUAUACAUUUAUACAGUCCCCGACUCUACCGAGGGGACUAAUCAAGCUCGCUCGUCGGGCUAGUAAAGUCGCAUUCUCGAGUAUCGAUGAAGAUAGGGAUCGAGGUUGGCUAGGCUGUUUUAUCCGGAUGAGGACCUCGGACUUGAUCCUGGCCGAGCACAUGUCGUUCCCUGAGAAGUGGAACAUGAAACGUAAGUAUAUAAUUUUGUCUCCAAGAUUUUAUUUAUCGCCAUUUUCCUUCCUUCUUAUCGGUAUUCUGUGAUGGUGCAGCUGUUGUUCGGAUCCCGAAAGAAGUUCCUCGACUCAAGGAGUGGGUCAAGGGCAUCGUAUCACAAAGGCCUUAUUCCGAGCGCUCGUGGCGUUAUCUUUCAAAGGGUCGAUGGGAGGCUCGUUCGCACGGUGAGAUCUCUUUCAUGAGUAAUAUUUGGUUUUCCCUUUGCAUGAUUAAGUCCUUACUUGUUUUAUUUCUUUUUGCAGGUUUACCCAAAGAUGUCCAAAUGAGGCCCCCAUCCAGUAGUAAAGAUUUCCCCAUUGAGUCCCCUACUCCAAAACAAGGUGAAGAGAAGAAGAGAAAAGGGCUCCGAGUUCUCCGAGCUCGGAGAAAAAAAAACCAAGGAGGAUCUGCAAGCCAAAAGAAACCUCUAGCUCAUGAAUAAUUGAUUCAGACUCCCUCAACAGGCUCAGGGAUGAGUCUGAAGAGGAUGCAAUUUUAGUGGUCCGGGAGCUAUUGGCCCCUGAAGAACGGGCAUCAACCGAAGGGGGGACGAUAUAGGACAAUCCUUCCCAAACUCAAGAGGUCGGUGCAUCAGUGAGGGUCUAGAACCCUCAAGACGUCGGUCCUGCUCCACCCGUUGUCAUUGAUAUAACAGGAUCACCCUUGUUCACGGACUCAAUGUUCGAUGAAGCUCAAGAGGCGAAGAAGCGUUCAAAUGAAGGGGUCUAAGGAGCAAACGAUCCCCUCCAAAUCGUUUUUGAUGGCAUGAACUCUAUUGCCACGGAGGAUGUCACCAGAUUAGGUGAUUUAGAAGUACCAAGAAGAAGUCUGCCCUCGGGGAUCGAUGGGUCUAGCUUGAGCCCGAGAUUGGUCAACCGAUUCCCUGCCCCGAGUGUCGAUCCCGGUCGGAAGCGGUCGAUUAUGAUCUUUGUUUAACGAAGCACAACAGACAUUGAAUCGGGUAUGGUGUUACCAUACCUUUUCAUUUUCUAACUUUGGUUACUUAAUGAUCUUAAUGUUUUUCCUUGUAUUCGCAGGCCUCGGUGCUUCACCACGAGACCUUCCUCCGAUAUCGAGAAGAUCUGAGUCUCCUCGAGGCCAAAGCCAAAGAGCUUAUUGAGAAGAGAGAUAUGUACAAACUUCUUAGUGGGCAGCGCGAGGGGGAGGUUAAGAGCCUCCGAGGUGAGCUGGAGGUGGCUCGAAAGGAGCAUGUCGACUUGGUCGAGCAAGUAAAAAUAUUUGAGGUUAGUGAUGAAGAGCUAGGCUUGGUGACUAACGGUCGAAAUCCACAUGUCCAACAAAAAAUUGAUUAGAUCGAUCAACUACGAGCUGAGAUGGAUGUUGUCAAGGCCGAGACCGACGAAUGGAGGGGCAAGAUGGAUCGUUUGGCCUCGAAAAAAGAGGUUGCUCGGGCGCAAUUGACUUCGGCUGAGGUCCAGCUUCGAGCAACAAAGGAAAAGGCCGAGGUGCAGGCCAAAAAGGUUGAAGAGCUCCAGUCUCAGCUAAGUUCGGUUGCCUCUGAUCAAAAAAAUAUGGCCAAGGAACUUGAAACGGCCAAGUCAGCGGCCGCGGUGGUUAAAGCCUUUGCCAACGAGAUGGUGGCCCAAUAUAAGGCCGAUGCCGAGGCGGCCCAGGACCGCUUGAAAGACAUUGUUGAAUACGAGAAACGGCGGUCACGAAGAGAGGCCCUCGAGGAGGUUCAUGCUCGGGGUUUUGAUCUAUUGACCGAGAUCGAAAUCGCUAAGGGGCUCGAGGCCAAGGCCAAGAAAUUGUCUUACCCCAAGGAAGAAGAAGAAGAAUAAGAAAANAGAGAGAGAGAGAGAGANAAAAGAAGAGNNNNNNNNNNNNNNNNNNNNNNNNNACGACGUAACGUACGUACGUAACGUAACGAAGAAGAAGAAGAAGAAGAAGAAGAAGAAGAAGAAGAAGAAGAAGAAGAAGAAGAAGAAGAAGAAGAAGAAGAAGAAGAAGAAGAAGAAGAAGAAGAAGAAGAAGAAGAAGAAGAAGACUCUGAGGGUCCCGAUGGGCCCGGAGGUGGAGAAGACCAGGCUAUUUAGACGCCUUUGUAAAAAUAUUUUGCUUUUUUUGUUUUUCCGUACUUGUGUACUUUUGUAUGUUUUUGUUAAGGCCAUUUGGCCUUUGUAAAGACUAUAUAUAAUAUACAAGGCUUGUUUUUCCCUUCGACAGUUUUUAAGAAUCUUGUUUUUCUUUGCUUUAUUCUUUAUGUUUGCAAGGAUCGAAAUGCCUUAGCAUAAAAUAGUUAGGUCAUGUUCGGAGGUUCGAACAGGCCUUGCCUUCUACAUUAUUUUGUUUAAGGCAUUGUGGGGGUUCGGUAUGACUAGAAACUUUUUUCCCAAAGUACUUAUGAUUUUUUUUUAGAUUAUAGUUUGUCAAAGGUAGCCUUUAGAACCGGUUAUGAAAUUUUGAAGGCCUUGUUUUUUGUUACGGGUCUCGGACAUCUUCGAGCCGUUUUAAUAUGGUCGUAGCCUUUAGUUUGGGUGUUGCCCAGUGGGCUUGUUACCCCGAGUUAUUCGGGCUUGCCUAAUAUAAUAUUCCCCGAAUGGGGAUGGCCGUAGCCUUUAAGGUUCGGGCACUGCCUAAUAGGUCUCGUGCACCCCAGGCUCAGAUAGUUCGAGCCGUCCGAUUUUGUUUGUGGACGGUAGCCCCCGAUUGGGAUUGAUCGUUUGAACCCGGAUAAAGGCGGCCCUUGGGCUCGAUACUUUUAGGGGAUCGAAUGUACGAAAUUCCUUAAGAGGAAAAGAAAAAAGAGAAAUUCUUAAGGGACAAGAUAUUUAUCCGCAAGGUAGAAACUUCUUUUUAUUCUUAUGCGUGAUAGUUACAUAUGUGUACAAGUUUUAUGCCAGGUCUAGAGUAGUCUAUUCGAGCACGGUUCAUUUGACCGUUUAUCCCUUAAAGUAAAUCGUAUCGAUCGAGCCAAGACCAUCCAAUCAUAAAGUUCCCUUCCUUACUAAAGUCGUUAUCUAAGAGUGAUGCCCCCGGUAUUCGAGGACGAGCGUAGAGAGGCCUUGAAUACUGUUAUCGCGAUCUUCGAUAACAGUUCAUAACCGGCCUUCAAUUCUAGGUUAGCGUGAUUUACUGUUACCUCAAUAAAAUCCUUGCCGGAAAACCCAUUUGGGACAAAACCGAUUCAAGGGAAAAAGAGUGCAAUGCGUGCUUUCAGGCCUAAAGAUUGUAUCGUCCUUUGAUGAUUGCCUGCAAGUGUUAGUUCGUAAUAUAAAUAAAUAAAAGUAAAUGAAUGGGGUCAUACCUUAAUAGUAGUUGCUCACCGUUCAUUGUUCCGAGCUUGUACGACCCUUUAUCGGUGAUCUCGAUAAUUUGAUAAGGUCCUUCCCAGUUCGGCCUAGCUUUCCUUCGUUCGGGUUCCAGGUGUUUUGUAUGACCUUCCUUAACACUAAGUCCCCGACAUUGAAGUGCCGAAGGUUGGCCCUUCGAUUGUAAUAUCUCUCGAUCCGCUAUUUUUGGGUAGCCAACCGGACAAGGGCUGUUUCGCGCCUUUCAUCUAAUAGAUCUAGGCUCGUGUUCAUAGCUUCGUUGUUCGAUUCCUUGGUUGCAUAUCAGAACUUGAGACUUGGUUCUCCGACUUCGACUGGUAUUAGAGCUUCGGCACCGUAAACCAGUGAGAAUGGGGUGGCCCCGGUACUGGACUUCGAGGUCAUACGGUAUGCCCAUAAGAUUUCGGGCAGGAUUUCCUUCCAUUUUCCUUUGGCGUCGGUCAACCUCUUCUUGAGGUUUUUGAGUAUGGUUUUGUUGGUCGAUUCUGCUUGUCCGUUCCCACUAGGGUGGUAAGGUGUUGAUAGGAUCCUUUUGAUCUUAUGAUCUUCGAGAAACUUGCUAACUUUGCUGCCGAUGAAUUGUUUCCCGUUGUCGCACAUGAUCUCGGCCAGCAUUCCGAACCGGCAUAUGACAUGGUCCCAAAGGAAAUCGAAGACUUACUUCUCCCUGACCUUUUCGUAUUCCUGGGCUUCCACUCACUUAGAAAAAUAGUCAGUCAUAAAUAAUAUAAAUUGAGCCUUACCUUGCCCACGGAAGGGGGCCAACAAUAUACAUUCCCCACUUCAUGAAACAAAAACAAAUGUAACAGCUCCCCGGACUGAUGAAUCAUCGGAGCGUGUCUUUGACAUUCAUCACAAUUUCGUACGAACUCCUUCGCGUCCUUUUCUAUAUCGAUCCAGUAGUAGACAGCUCUGAUCACUUUCUGAACCGAUGAUUCGGCGCCUGAAUGAUUUUCACAUGUGCCUUCGUGGAUUUCCCUCAAAACGUACUUGGUAUCCCCUGGUCCCAGACAUAUCAUGAGUGCGCCAUCGAAUGUUCUUCUGAAUAGGGUUCCGUCUUCGGACAGGAUAUACUGGGCUGCCUUUGUACGCAGGGCCCUUGAUUCUUUUGUAUCCGAGGGCAAUUUUCCAGUCUUUAGAUAUUCUAUAUAUUUAUUCCUCCAGUUCCAAGUUAGGCUCGUUGAUUUAAUCUUGGAAUGGCCUUCUUCCACUACCAAUCUCAUAAGUUGUACAACUGCCCCCGAGUUUAACUAGUCGUCCUCGAUCGAUGACCCUAAAUUAGCGAGGGCAUCGGCCUCACUAUUUUGAUCCCGAGGUACAUCUUGUAAAGUCCAUUCUUUGAACUGAUGUAACGUUACCUGCAACUUAUGCAGGAACCUUUGCAUUCAUUCUUCUCUGACUUUGAACGUCCCAUUAACUUGGUUCACCACAAGAAGGGAGUCUCACUUGGCUUCGAUCACCUCUGCCCCAAGCUUUUGGCUAGUUCGAGACCUGCAAAUUAUAGCCUCAUAUUUGGCCUCAUUGUUAGUCAAUUUCACAGUCCUAAUAGAUUGUCUAACUACAUUACCUGUUGGCGGCUUCAAUACGAUGCCAAGUCCGGACUCUUUUGCGUUCGAAGCAUCGUCCGUAAAGAGGGUCCAGAUUCUCGAAGAAGUCCCCGAGUUCAACAACAACUCUCUUUCGACCUUGGGUAUUAGGGCCGGCGUAAAGUCGGCCACAAAGUCUGCCAAAUUUUGAGACUUAAUGGCAGUCCGAGGCCGAUAUUUAAUAUCGUACCCACUGAUCUCUACGACCCAUUUGGACAACCAUCCCGAGAGCUCGGUUUUAUGCGUUACAUUCCUCAAUGGGUAAGUUGUCACGACACAUAUGGGGUGACAUUGGAUGUACGAUUUUUUGCUUCCUAGAGGUGCUUAGCAAAGUGAGCGCCAACUUUUCUAGGUGAGGGUGUCUAGUUUCAACCUCGCCUAGAGUCCUACUAACAUAGUAAAUUAGAAAUUACGUACCUUUCUCUUCCCGGACCAGGACUCCACUUACCGCUAUCUCCGAUACUGCCAAGUACAAGUAUAGUUGUUCGUCUGCCUUCGGCGUGUGAAGCAGUUGUGGGCUCGAUCGAUACCGCUUGAGUUCCUCCCAGGCCCGUUGGCACUCUGGGGUCCAUAAGAAGUUAUUCUUCUUCAAUAGUGUGAAGAAUUGGUGGCUCUUGUCGGAGGACCUCAAGAUGAAUUGCCCUAGGGCAGAUAUGCACCUGGUUAAUCUUUGCACAGCCUUUACGUUGUCCACAACCGUGAUAUCUUCGAUGGCUUUCAUCUUGUCGGGGUUGAUCUCGAUUCCCCGAUUGGAAACCAUGAAUUCGAGUAAUUUACCUAACCCAACUCCAAACGCACAUUUCUCCGUGUUCAGCUUCAUAUUGUAUUUUUUCAAUAUACUGAAGGUUUUCUGCAAAUAUUUUAAAUGGUCCUCUGCUCGCAGGGACUUAACCAACGUAUCGUCAAUGUAAACCUCCAUUGAUUUUCCUAUUUGUUCCUCGAACAUCCGGUUUACUAGGCGUUGGUAAGUGGCACCGGAAUUUUUUAACCCGAAUGGCAUCACAUUAUAGCAGUAUGUGCCGUAUUUAGUAAUAAAGGAGGGUUUUUCCUGAUCACCCGGGUUCAUCCGUAUUUGGUUGUACCCGGAGUAGGCAUCGAGAAAACUGAGGAUCUCGUGGAUGGCCGUGGCGUCGAUUAUGCGAUCGAUGUUGGGCAAAGGGAAAUAGUCCUUGGGACAUGCCUUAUUCAAAUCCUUAUAGUCUACACACAUUCUUAAUUUGUUCCCUUUUUAGGGACUACUACUACAUUUGCUAAACAAUUCGGGUAUUUAACAUCCCGAAUGGACCCUAUUUUAAGAAGUUUAGAUAUCCUGUCCUUGAUGAACGCAUAUUUGACCUCGGACUAGGGUCUCCUCUUCUGCUUGACCAGAUGGAAUUUUGGGUCUAGGCUUAGUUUGUGAGUGGUUAUCUCCGGCUGGAUCCCUGUCAUAUCAAGGUGGGACCAAGCGAAAUAAUCUUCAUUAGCUAUAAGAAAUUGAAUGAGUUUUUUCUUAAGCUUGGGGCUUAACCCCGUGCCCAGGUAUACCUUUCGAUCGGGUUGGUGUUCACUCAAUAAGACUUGUUCUAGUUUCUCGACCGUUGAUUUUGUAGCAUUGGAGUCAUCAGGGGCUAUAAAAGAUCUGGGGACCCCGUAGUGAUCGUCCUCGUCUACCCCUCAUUUCUCCGAUUCUAUCGAAGCUGGUAUCAGUGAUUGCUAUUUGGCCCUGUCUUUGACUAUCUAGUUCGGAUCCUCCGAUGUUAUGGAUGUUGGGAUCACUUCAUCGACCGCGAACAUUUCCUUGGCGGCCGGUUGUUCCCCAUAAACUGUUUUGACUCUGUUGGGUGUUGGGAAUUUCAACACCUGGUGCAGUGUCGAGGGAACUGUUAUCAUGUUGUGGAUCUAAGGCCUCCCGGACAAAACGUUGUACCUUAUGUCUCCUUCGAUCACAUAAAACUUAACUUCCUGGAUGGUGCUGGCAGUGUUCACUGGUAAUGCUAUCUCACCCUUAGUGGUUUCAUAUGCCAUGUUGAAUCCGUUUAAAACUCGGACCACAUGCACAAUUUGAUUUUGUAGACCGAGCUGCUCCACGACCUUCGAUUGGAUGAUGUUGGCCGAGCUACUUGGAUCAAUUAACACAUGUUUAACUCAAAUUUUAUUCAUGAUUACAGAUAUUACUAGUGCAUCAUUAUGGGGCUGCAGGAUCCCUUCCGCAUCCUCGUUGUUGAAAGACAAGGUUCCUUCCGAUAUGUAAUCUCGAGUUCAUUUCUCCCUCGUGAUAGACACUUUGGUGCGCUUCAACAUCGGCCACUGUGGGAUAUCGACCCCACCAAUGAUCAUGUUAAUGAUGUGUUGAGGUUCUUCUUGUUCGGUCUGUUUGUUAGAAUCCCUGUUCCUGAAAUAAUUCUUGGCUCGGUCGCGUAGGAAGUCUCGAAGAUGUCCGUUGUUGAAUAGUCGGGCUACUUCCUCUCUCAACUAUCGGCAAUCCUCCGUUCUGUGGCCGUGAGUGUCGUGAUAUUUACAUAUCUUUUUAUGAUUCCUUUGGGUUGGAUCGGAUUGUAAAGGUCGAGGCCAUUUGGUAUCUUUGAUGCAUCCGAUAAAUGAUAUAAUGGCGGUAGCAUCGACAUUAAAAUUGUAUUCCGAUAAUCUCAGUGCUUCUUUAGGUCCGAUGGGCCUGUCGAAGCUAUUUUUUCUCAUGAGUCCCCGGUUGCUCUGACCUCGGUUACUUCUCCUUUCAUUUUUCGUAUAGUUCUUCCUGGACCCACUGCUUCUUUGGUCUUCAUUAUACGGCUGAUAUCGAUCCCUGUUUGGUCUCGGUUCACGAUCAAUGUCUCUCUUGACUCUGUCAAUGGUUCUAACGGGAUAAAUAGACCUCGAAGUGGCCCAAAGUUGAUCAUCUUCCACUCUGAUCUUCGAUUGAUACCGGUUAUUCACAUCGGCCCAAGUAAUGGCCGAAUAUUCUAUCAGGUUUUGUUUCAACUAAUGUGAAGCCACCGAGCUUCGAACAUUGAGCCCUUGGGUGCAAGCCUGAAUGGCCCAAUCAUCAGCGACCGAUGGCAUGUCCAUUCAUUCCAUUUGAAACCGGGACACGAACUCUCUGAGCAUCUCGUUAUUCUUUUGUUUUACUUUGAAAAGGUCUGAUUUCCUGGUCUCGACCUUGAUGGCCCCGGCGUGUGCUUUUACGAAAGAAUCCGCAAGCAUAGCAAAUGAGUCAAUAGAAUUAGGAGGUAAGUUGUGAUACCAUAUCAUAGCCCCUUUCGAUAGGGUCUCUCCGAAACAGGACAGACUCGAUCUCAUCAUCCUCCAAGUAGUUCCCUUUGAUGGCACAUGUAUAAGAGGUUACAUGCUCAUUUGGGUCGGUCGUUCCGUUAUACUUAGCGAUCUCGGGCAUGUGGAAUUUCUUAGUGAUCGGCUUUGGAGUCGCGCUCGGAGGAAAAGGCUUUUGCACGAACUUCUUAGAAUCCAGUACUUUUAAUAUUGGCGGUGCUCCUGGAAUUUGGUCCACCCUGAAAUUGUAGGUUUCCACCUUUUUGUCAUUGGCUUCGAUUUUCUUCUCCCCCGAUUCUAUUCGUUUCGUCAGCUCUUCGAGCAUCUUUACGAUCUCGGGGUUAGCCCCCGAUUCAUUUUCAUUUGACCUUUUUGCGAUCGGUUCAUUCCUACUAGUGACUUCCAGGGGCGGAUCGGGUUCAACUCUGCUCGGUGCACGGCUUUGGUUCUAUAACUGAUCUAUCGCCGCCUGUUGAAUCUGCAGCAUUUCGAAGAUCACCCGUAAACUGAUCCCGUCUCCUCCAAUGUUUUGUAUGUUUUGAGUUACCGAUUGGGCUCCACCACGGACGCUAUUCUCGGGGUCGGUAGGCAAGUUUGCGUCAAUAGCCACAUGUGAAUUAGCGUCAAUCGGGCCCGCGAUCGGAACUCUGAUGGGAUCAACGGGCGGUACCUCGUCACCGGGCGCCAUGAUGUUAUUUUUACCGUGAUGGCCGGACUCAUUGUCAACAUGUAGGGGUGCUGAUUGAGAGUUUGACAUUUUGAGUUUUAAUCUGAAAUUAGAGAAACUUCAAAGAACAAGUGUAAAGUAGUGUGUGUUAUGGAGAUUUGUAUCAAAUAACCACUAUUAUUCUUAGCUCUAUGGUGGGCGCCAAACUGUUUACCCUUAAAAUCGGAUAACAACUGAAUUUAUACGUGAUUUUAAGGAUACGUGGACUAACUUGAUACAAAAUAAUAAAUUAGAUCGCAAUUGAAAUAAAUAAUGAUAAAAUAAAUGCAAACCACACGAAUUGAAUAGACAUGAUACAGAACAAGAAGAGCUUAAAGAGAAAUACGAACAAUGUAUUGCUUUGGGAUGCGUGUUACCAUCUGCUCAAUGAAUUAUUAGACCCCCCUUUAUAUAGUAUAAGAGUUCUACUUUAUGUACAAUUCUAUAAAAGGUAUAAAUCCAUUGAUUAGCUAAUUCCCGGUUCGUUACUGAUACGUGCGAAAAUUUUCGCCGUAAUACCCGGCCGAUAACGGAUAUUUCGGUCUUCUGUUGGUUAUGCUAACAGUAUUUCUUCGAGCUCGAUCGGGGCUAAGGUCGACUUCGGGAUUACAGACUCAAUAUUCCCGAAGACAGGCAUUCUGACCCCACGUUCUUACUCGAUGGGAUUCGGGGUCGAUCUUCAGUCUUUGGUUGUCAUGUUCCGAGCCUAACUUGCCAUGUCAUAAUUGAGCUUGAUUCCGACCGUAUACACUUAUUUAAAAAAAAUCUAUUCUAUUAAAAAAAAAUUCAUUCUCAAGGUUCGAACACAACAUACAUUCUUAAGUUUCAAAUCUCCAUAUGAUCACCACCGUCUAUAUACAGAUAAAUUUGAUAAGUAAUGAUAAUAAAUAAGCAGUUUAGCUUCUAAGUUGUUUUUGACGAUUAAUGAACGAUUACCAAGCAGACAAAAGAGAGCUGGACAUUCAAAUUAAGGGAUGAGAUCAUAGGCAAUCGAAUUAAAGGUUUAUGUAUACUUCGAAUGUUAUAUUUAAAUCGAUGAGAUCAUAAGAUACUUUACAAUAAAAUCAUAAACUAAGCAAUUGAAAGAAUAAUUUUUAACGUCUAUGAAGAAAAUUUUCUGGGUUGCAUUUUUCUGCCUCAACUAAAAGAAUCGACGUUUUUUUUGGUAAGAGGGAAACCCGCAACCGCUACAAUCUCUACAACAGCCUCUACCUUUCGGGUGAUCACUCUGUGGUUAGCACUUUGUGCGUACUGGGUAAACCUCCCUCUGUGUAAUAGCCUGCAAAUCACACAGAGAAUAUAAACCGGACUAGACAAACCCCAUGCGACAGACUCAGAUCCAAAGAGACAUUGCGAUAGAUCCCACAUCUUCCGUGUGGAAGUCGCCUGCCAAACCCAACUGGGCCGUCCCUUCGGGACAAAGAAGAAGCAUUUCAUCGAUAAAACGACUAGUAAAUGACAAUCCUAACUCCCACUUUCUAUCACUGAAAUUUUAUUAACCUAAAAUGUUAGUUUUAAAAUUAAGAUUACUUUAUUGACAAGAAAAUAAAUUUGAAACGUAAAACGGAUGCACUUAAAUACUUUAUUUUAAAUUUGAAACUCAGAAGAUAAAACUUCGUAUUAAAUUUAGAGAGAACCUUUUCUCCCUAAAUGGUAAUGUAUACCUAUUAAACCAUGGUUAAAAUUAUUGUUGGAAUAAACAAAAUUGGGCCUUUAAUAAUUAAAUAGGAUAAAUGUCAUAUAUCUAUAUAGAAAACUUGGGAAAAUGGAGAAGAUGAGAAUUGAAGAGGAGUCUCCUCUCGAAUUAGGAGUAUUGAUUUUAUUUUUAUUAAUCGGAUAAGUGGAUAACCGCAAAAUAAAAUAGCACCUAGCACAAUAUAUAAAACGAAUGUAAAAAAUGACUAAUAAAAUUGAUUUGGUUUCAAAAGAAUUUUCGUAAAAGGAAGUACAGUCCACAUUCCACAACAGAUCAUAUGGACUAGUUAUCAACCAAAUUAAGGGGGAUGAGGAUGGGAAAAUGGUUAGUUGUAAUCUGAUUGUCAUUACCUCGGAGGAAGAUCAGUUGAAUGGAAAUUGGUCAAACGCGGGGCGGACAAUCAAAACACGAGUUAUUUAUGGUGACCAAGCUUCUCCUAUCUUAAAUUUUUUUUUUUUUUUUUAAAAGGUGCAAUUUUUUUCAAAGUUGAAAUAUUUAGCCAACAUUUUGGAAGAAAAAAAAUAUUUUUGAAGAGAAAUAAAAAUAGUUUUGAAGAAAUAGAAAAAAAUAGUUUCUUUCCAAAAGUACUUUUGAGAAAAAUAUACUUAGAAAUAGUUUUUAAAAAUUUGGCCAAACAUUAAUUGGUGCUCAAAAUUAUUUUUCAAAUUAAUUAGUCAAACACAAACUGUUUCUCACCGAAAGUACUUUUAAAAAAAAAUACUAAUUUUUAUCGCUUGACCAAACGGGAUAUUAAUUUGGAUUAACAUAGGAAGAAUAGUGCCUUUUAAAGUGAAGUCGAUUACAAUUCGGGGAUAAUUUCUUCUAGCCCGUAAACCCGUCUGGACAUACAAUUUUUUUUUUUUUUUUUUUUUUUUUUUGCUUUUUUCAAUUUACUUUAAAACUGUUUGAUUUUAUAUUGGACUAACUUUUUAAAAGAAAUUGAAGAGUAGUUUUUCAUACUGUGACCAGAUUUUUUCACUUACAAAAUUACAACUUUUUAAACAAAAGGUUUUCACUGUUCGACAGUGAAAGAGGCGGCGAGAGAAAAGGGGCACGAUUUGAUAGUGGCUGAUAAAUUAAUGCAUUAGAGAAAUAUGGCGUCCUCACGUUAUUAAUGAUGAUGCUAUUGCCCUCGAAAAGGCAAAAGGCAAAUGAACCACUUGAGAGAAACAACAAAAGUUGGAAAACGUAAAAGGCCUUGGGGAGACCACAAUCCUGUAUAAUAAUUCAUGUCACGGAUCUGUUGACCCUGAUACCCCAAAUCUGACGAAUCCUCAUAGUCAUUAUAUUUUAUUAUUCAUAUAUUUUUGUUUAAUUUUUAUAAUACUUAAUUCUUCCUUCAUUUUCUUUUAAUUCAUGGACAAAAAAACGGUAUAUGUCAGAAUACCAUUUUCCUUCUCACAACAUUCCUGAUUUUCACAGCAGCAGAAAAACAAAUAAAAUAGUCGUAAGCAGUGAGCGCAGAAGCGCUAAGGAGUUCCCCCACAAAACUCGCUAAUUUUGGUUUGACCACAAAAUUAGAAACGCUAUAUACAUAUACGCCUACUGAUCAGCAAAAAUUACAGGUGGUGGAUCAUUGUUGCUACCGAAUGUUAUAAUAUUUGAUCUUACAUUACUGUUACAGACCUUGGUUUAUCUUUCAAAUAUCCAAACACGUGCGGGACAAACAUUGGAGACGUGUGGGUUUCCUAUAAACUUCUUCUUAGCACCUUCUUUUGUUAAUGCAUCCGUCGUCACUUGCUCUGUUCCCUGAAGAAUGAAGAUGUGCCUGAGCGUCGGUUUCCCAAGUUUUGCAUUAGCUGCCUACGUUCAUUAAUAAUUUUUGUAUGAUUAUUUGUAUUAUCUCAGUUGAGUCUGUGGCUAUUUUCAGAGGUGUAAGAUUUUGUUGAGCCAUAAUUUUAAGUUCUUGCAUGAGAGCUAUUAGUUUAGCCUAUUUGUUAGUCGUGUUUACUUUUAAACUGGAUAACAAUUGAAUUUGUACGCGGUUUUAAGAAUACGUGGAUUGAUUCAACACAAGUAAUCAAGAAUGUUAGAUAAACGAAUUAAAGAUGAGAUAGAUAACCAAACUAGUUUUGACUUUGAGUCCGGGUUCGGAUUUUAGCUCAACAAUAGUUUUGCCCUCGACUGGAUCCCUCGAUUCGAAGCCAAAUACAUAUGAAGAACUAUGAUUAAAAUAAGAACCUUUCAAUAGCUAGAAAGCAGAGAAGUUAUUUUUGUAUUGCUUUGAUAUGCGUAUUACAAUGUGUAUUGAAUGAAUAAGCUUUCCCUUUAUAUAGUAGGAGAGUUUCAUCUCUAGUACAACUCUAAAAAAGGUAAAAACAUCCUCAUUUCUUGUCAAUUACUGAUAUGCUACCGACGUCGGACGAGAUUCGCGCUGUGAUAUCUAGUUGGGUGUGGAUAUCACGGCUUUCUGUUAGUCAUGUGCAACUGUGCGUAGUGCUUUUCGAGGUUUAGGAGUUCGCUUUAGGUCCAGGGAGUGUUGUGUUGGCGAACACUCCGUUCGGCCCCUGGUACGAGAAGUCCCCGGCUUCGAUUUUGAUCCCAGGCAGUCAUGUCUUCGCUUCAUUUGACCCACUGGGAAAUCGGGGUAUAUGUUACCCCCUGUUUUACCCGUAUAUAGAUAGUCCCCUCAUUUUCCAGAGAGUAGGUUUGCCGAAACGAUGGAAGACGAUAGAUGAACCCUGGUUCCUUCCUUUGCACGUUUCAUCCGAUAUGGCGGAUAAGCCGAAACGUCCCAUCAGUCGCGUCGUUUUGACUUCGGACACGUGUCGGUCAACGGAUGGUCGCCUUCGAAUACGAAACGUCGCGAAUUUCCCCCUAUAAAAGCUUCGCCCCCUUCACUUCCUUCACUUUAUGAUCCUAGUUUUUACCUUCGAACUCUACAAAGGCUUUCGUCUUUCUUGAAUCUUCAUACCUUAUUUCCUGAACCUUCAUAUCUUCAUCUUCAACCUCCAACCUUCAUACAUUUUCUUGGAUUUUCAACCCAGAACCUCAUAUCUUCACUUUCAAACUUCAAAUCUUCAUACACUCUCUCCAAAUCUUCAUAUAUUUUCCAGAUUUACAAUGGCCAAGACAUCUAAAUCAGUUCCACAGCAGGCUGCCUCUUUAUCUACUCACCCGGCCACAGGUACUGAGGCAACUGUCCCCGAAGUGGUUGUUCUCAAUACGGCUGCUCCCGAAGUGGAUGCCGCCGAAGAGGCCCCUAAGCCCCCCAUGAAAAGUUUUAUUCCCCGGGGUUGUUCAAUCACAGACGACUUCAAAGUCGAGAAGGCUUCAUCUAAACAAGACCGAGGUGAAGGGGCGUCGAGAUAUAUAUGCUCUGUCACCGAAGAUACCCUUCCCAUUGUUCGAGAGGACUGUAACUGGGGAGGUAAGGACGUGGUAGUCCCCAGGCCUGAGGAUGAUAUCACCAGUCAUGUGGAUGGGUAUUUAAGUGUUUACACUUAUCCCUUCACACUGGGCGCCUGGUAGACCCAAUUGUUUUGGCCUUUUGCAAGAGACACGAGGUGUGUCUUGGGAAAAUCCACCCGUCUUUGUGGAGGAUCGUGAUUCUCCUUCGUUAAUUUGUUAAUAACACAGAGUCUCAUCGGUUCACCCUCGACCACCUGCUCCGCCUAUAUAAUUCUCGAAUUUUUCGAGGGGGGCUAAUAAAGCUCACUCGCCGGGCCAUCAAGGCCCCUAUUCGAGCAUCGACGAAAAUCAAGACCGAGUCUGGCAGGGGCGCUUUGUUCAGGUGAAGAGUGAAGAUUUGAUCCCUUCUGAGUUUCUGCCAUUCCCUAAGAAGUGGAAUGCAUCUCGUAAGUGUAAUCUUUCCUUAAGCGUCGAGUCUUCUUUGUUCCAUUUCUCACCAUCAGUGUUUGUGAUUGUGCAGCUGCUACUUGGGUUCCUAAUGCGGUCUCCCGGCUCAAGGAGUGGAUCGAGGACAUCUCCAAACAAAUAUUGUAUUUUGAGUGCUCGUGGUGCAAGCUUUCGAAGGGCCGAUGGGAGGCCCGUUCUCAUGGUAGGACACUUCUUAGAAUAGUUAUUUUUACUCCCCAAACUUAUAUAACGCUGACCCCUUCUUUUUCCUUCGCAGGUUUGCCUAAGACCACCGAACUUAGGUCGCUGAUGUGUGGCUAUAAUUCAUGGUUUAGCACACUAUUCGCCUUGCAUUUUGUACGCUUUAAUGAUAAAUUACACUUUAUUUACUCGUAAUGAAGUCCAUUUUAUGUGUAGGUGAAUUGAAGAUGAAAGUAGAGCAAAAAAGAUACUUAAAAGUCGAAAGCGUACUGGGGAGCAGUUGAAAAUGAGAAGCUGGCGAAGCCAGGCCUACACCAGGCAUUAUACCUGGCGUCGCCAAGCUUGUAGCUGGCGAGAUACCUGGCGAGGCGGGCAGAAGGCGAGAUUGACCGGGCCUUAUACCUGGCGACGCCAGGCCUGGGGUGAGGUCUACCAGGCAUUAGGCCUCGUGAGGCCAGUUCUGGGCGUGCACAGUCUGAGUUUUGAAGACUUAUUUCGUCUCCGGGUUUGACUAGGACUUUGCCUACACGUUUAGGUCUUUUCCUACACAUAAAUAGACCUAAAACGCCACUUUUGAGGACUUUUGCAACCGGAGUCAAGAAUAGCUUAUGGAAUCACCUAUUGGGAGUUAGAAUCAUCGAUUUCUACAUCCUUUCAUCUUUACUUUGUAAUUUAAUUAUGCAAAAUAUUUGGAAUAUUGUUACUCUGAGUAUGAGUAGCUAAAUUCCUAGUCUAAGGUUUUGAUGGAACCUAUUAAAUGAUGAUUUUCUUGUUACGUUAAUAUAAAUUUGCCGUAGUAUUUUCUCUAUUUGUUCAACUACAUUAUUCAUGUGGUUGAUUGAAGGGCCCUCAAUUAGCUGUGCCUAUUUAGUAUGUAUUACUCGGGAGAGAGUGCAUAUUUAGGUAGUUGUUGAACAACAUCACUCCUAACGUAUAUGAGGGAUCAAUACGAAGGGUUUAAAGGUGGGAUUAGGGAUAACAAAAUCUUGGUGCGAUCUGAGUGAGCCGUACUUAAUGCCAGCUAGCGUAAUUCUGCAAAAUAUGUCUAGUAAAUUGUGGUAAUUACUUGGGAGAGAGUUACGACAGCCAUAGUACUCAUGAUCGAUAGAGAAGAAUUAGGCGAAUCUAUAGAAAACAUAGCGUACAAGAUUCCGACAAUAGGGGAAAUCACAACCUUAGAUCAUUCCAAUUCUUGUUUACAAACCGUUCAUAGUUAGUUAUUUAUUAUUGCAUUUUCAUUACGUAAUAUUUAGUUAAUAAACUUCCAAAUUGUUAUUGAAAUAUUUCUGAAGAUUGAUUGCAUGAAUUUGUGAGAGUCUAGCAGUUGUGGUUGAUAGGUUAAUUCCCUAUGGGAUUCGAUUCCGGACUUAUUAGCCGGAAUAUAUUUGCGACGAUCGCAUAGUCCUUUUUAUAAGGCAUAGUCGAGCAUGAUCAAAUUUUGGCGUCAUUGCCGGGGAAUUAACGGUGUUAUUAAUUGCAGCUAAAAGAAGUGCUAGAAUUCUUAGUGUAGUCAAUUUUCUUCAUUCUAAAUCAAAUACAUUGAAAUUCUAACGUUUGUAGUCUUGGGUGUUACAAGUGCAUGCCUAGGAACUCCUCAAGAACUGGUGAACUGCUCGAAGCAUUAUCAGAUCCUGAGAAAGUUUUCAAGGCACUAAAUUGUGCAAACAAGAAAAACAAACAGCAAUAAAACAUGACAGAACAAAUCUAACCAGAUAUGAAUGACGGAAUAGAAAAUCCAAUGAACAACAGAAACAAUGCGAAUGAACCAAACAAUCAGGGUGAGGUGCCUCCUGUACCAGAAGCAGCAUUAUAUAUUAUUGGGCACAACCCACCGCCGACAAUCUGGCAACCGCAAUUGCAAUCCCUCAACUAUAAGCGGGAUCAUUUCAAAUCACAAACAACAUGCUACAUUUGUUGCAGAACAUGGGACUCUUCUCAGGGUCACAUAUUGAAGAUCCUCAGCAGCAUCUGAAGAAUUUCCUGUCGAUAUGUGUCACGCAAAGGCAACCUAAUGUGACACCGGACGCAAUAAAGCCGUUAUUGUUCCCAUUCUCGGUGAUAAGAGAAGCUCAGACCUGGAUUAAUUCACUCCCCAUAAACUCCAUCACUACUUGGGAGGAAUUAGUCAAGCAAUUUUUGAACAAAUUCUUCCCACCCAAUAAAACUGCCCAACAAAUUAAUGAUAUAUUGAGCUACAGGCAGAGACCAACAGAAUCACUACAAGAAAUGUGGGAUAGGUUCAAGGGUAUGCUGGUUAAGUGUCCACAUCAUGGCAUUCCAUAUCAGAUGUUGGGGCAGAGAUUCUACUUGGAACUGGCUGACGGCUUAAAGGCUAAUGUUGAUGCUUCAGCAGGUGGAGCAUUUUUGAGUAAAACAUUCAGAGAAUGCAAGAUCCUACUUGAUAAGAUGGCUUAAAACUCAAGAUGGAUGACAAGAGCCUCUAUGAUCACUCCGGUAGUUCACUCAGUGACUUUGGACCCAAACAACUCCAUAGCUGAGAAUAUGGCCACUCUAAUGACACAAAUACGUAUCCUCACCAAGAAGAUUGAUAAAUCAGGCCAGAAGUAGCAGGUUCACAUAGUUGACGCAACUAAUGGGGGCUCAUGUACACCAUGCAUUAACCAACCAUAUGUUUGUUCGUGGAGUGCGGAAGGUGACAACCAACACUAUCAAGGAGAUAUGAAUUAUGUAGCCAACUAUGGGGGACAGAGGCAAGGUGGUCAGAAUUGGGGUCAACAGAAUCAACAAUAUAGACCAGCGCAGCAGCAGUACAAUAACAACAACAAUCCUAGAACUAUGCGACCAUUGGGUCAAGUUAUGCCUUACCAAAGGCAACAGGGUUACAACCAGCAAAAUCAGCAGCUGACUUAUCAACAACCUCAAUAACAACAGAUUAUGAGACAAGAUGAUGGUUUUACUGAACUUAAGGGAAUGCUGGACAGCAACAACAGAAUGCUGCAACAACUGAUUGGGUCCACGGGAAAAAUGCAUCAGAGAGUAGACUCACAUGAAUCAGCGAUAAAGGGUAUUGAGAUUCAAUUAGGACAGAUUUUUAUGGCUCUAAACAAUCGUCCCCAAGGGACGUUACCUGCAGACACACAAAUCAAUCCAAAAGAACAGGGCCUAAAACAGCUUAUGGCAGUGAGUCUACGAAAUGGUAGAGACCUAGAUCUGGAGCAAGAGAUGGCUCGCGAAAGCCGACCUACUGAUACACUUGUGCCAGUACCCAUUGAGAUAGAUGAUUCAACAGGGUUGACAGAGGUGAAGGUACAAUACGCGCCAGCUGAAUCAAGCAAAGAAAAAGAAGUCCCGAAGGAAAAUGAGUCAGUGCAAGAGAAGGCAGUAGAAACAGUGCCAGAGCUGGUUCAAAAUCAAAUCACAGGAAAAAAGUGGCAUCCAUCACCCUUCCCCCAGAGAUUGGACAAAUAUCAAAAAUAUGAGCAGUAUAAGAAAUUCUUGGAGAUGUUGAAACAAAUUCAGGUUAACAUUCCAUUGAUUGACGCCUUAAAGGAAAUGCUUGGUUAUGCAAAAAUGAUGAAGGACUUGAUGUCUCGUAAGUUCGAAUUUCAAGACUUGGCCACGGUUACACUGACUCAGACAUGUAGUGUUGUUGUGACGAGACCUAUAGCUGAGAAGUUAUCUGAUCCAGGGAGUUUCAUAAUCCCACGCACAAUAGGCAACUAUGCAUUUGCUAAGGCACUUUGUGAUUUGGGGCAAGCAUAAACUUGAUGCCCUUGGUAUCUAUAAAAGGUUAGGCAUUGGAAGAGCUAGACCCAUGUCCAUGUUACUACAGCUGGCCAACCGGACAGUGAAGAGGCCCUCUGGUAUCCUUGAUGAUGUAUUAGUACAGGUUGGGAAGUUUGUGUUCCCAGCAGAUUUUGUCAUUCUAGACUGCCGGAUUGAUGAGGAGAUUCCUAUAAUUUUGGGAAGACCAUUCUUGGCCACUGGGAGAGCUUUAAUCGAUUGUGAGACUGGAGAGCUCAAAAUGAGACUAAAUGAUGAAGAAAUAACAUUCAACGUGUAGAAAUCUAUGCGGCGACCAAGUGAAUUUGCUAACUGCUCUCUAAUAGAAGCCGUGGAUGUAAUUUUGGAGGAGGAAGAUGAAACCUUGAAUGCUAAAGACCCUCUACCAGCUUGUCUCUUGAACAUAGAUAAAGUAAAUGGAGAGGAGGUGACGAAAUGGGUGCUGGCUCUUAAAGGCCAAGGGUUUAGGAAAAGAGAGCUCGAAUAUGAGCCUUUGCACUUAGAAGAAUGAAAAAUUCCUCCAGCUAAGCCAUCGAUAGAAGAGCCACCAAAGUUGGAGCUGAAGCUGCUACCACCUCACCUUAGGUAUGCUUUCUUGGGACCUAACUCAACUUUACCUGUUAUUAUCUCAUCUGGUUUGUUAGAUGUGCAGAAACAAUAGCUUUUGCAGGUAUUGAGUGAGUGCAAAACUAUAAUUGGUUGGACCAUCGCAGACAUUAAGAGUAUCAGCCCGACCUUCUGUAUGCAUAAGAUUCUACUGGAAGAUGGCCACAAACCUUCCAGAGAACAUCAAAGGAGGCCGAACCCCAACAUGAAGGAAGUUGUGAAAAAAGAGGUGAUAAAGUGGUUAGAUGCGGGAAUCAUUUUCCCCAUCUCCGACAGCAACUGGAUCAGCCCAGUCCAAUAUAUGCCUAAGAAUGGUGGGAUGCAUGUAGUGCAAAACGAGAACAAUGAGUUGAUAUCAACAAGAACAGUCACGGGAUGGCGAAUUUGUAUGGACUACAGAAGAUUGAACAAGGCCACCCGAAAAGACCAUUUCCCCUUGCCAUUCAUUGAUCAAAUACUAGAUAGAUUGGCGGGGAAGUCCCGCAUUUGCUUUCUAGAUGGAUACUCAGGGUAUAAUCAAAUCUCCAUUGCCCCGGAAGAUAGAGAGAAAAUAUCAUUCACCUGUCUAUAUGGCGUCUACGCCUUUCGGAGGAUGUCGUUCGGCCUAUGCAAUGCACCCGCCACAUUUCAAAGGUACAUGAUGGCCAUCUUCACUGAUAUGGUUGAGGACAUCAUGGAGGUAUUUAUGGAUGAUUUCUCGGUGGUGGGAGACUCAUUCAAUGAUUGCCUAAGGAAUUUGAAAAGAGUGCUGAAAAGAUGUGUCGAGACGAAUCUGGUACUCAACUAGGGAAAGUGCCAUUUCAUGAUACAUGAAGGUAUAGUCUUGGGGCACCUAGUGUCGAGUAAGGGCAUUGAGGUAGAUCGUGCCAAGGUUGAUGUGAUCGAAAAGCUUCCACUACCCGCGUCCGUUAAAGCAAUAAAAAGUUUCCUAGGCCAGGCCGACUUCUAUAGAAGAUUUAUAAAAGAUUUUUCCAAAAUUGCUAACCCCUUGUGUAAAUUUCCUGAAAAAGAUCACCCUUUUGUGUUUUUUGAUGAUUGCAGGGUAGCUUUUGAGGAAUUGAAGAAGAGGCUGGUGAUAGUACCCAUCAUGGUUGCACCUGAUUGGGAGCAACCAUUUGAGCUAAUGUGUGACGUAAGUGACUAUGCUAUGGGAGCACUACUUGGACAACGCAAAGAUAAAGUCAUGCAUCCAAUAUAAUAUGCUAGUAGAACUUUGAGUGGUGCCCAACUAAAUUACACGUUGACUGAGAAAGAGAUGCUAGCAGUGUUGUUCGCAUUUGACAAAUUUAGGUCAUACCUGAUAGGCUCUAAGGUAAUUGUUUAUACUGACCAUAAUGCUCUCAGGUACUUAAUUGAUAAGAAGGAUUCAAAGCCGCGCCUGAUUCGAUGGGUGCUACUACUGCAAUAAUUUGACUUGGAAAUCCGUGACCGAAAGGGAACAGAGAACCAAAUGGCUGAUCACUUGUCCAGGCUGGAAGGAGCCGAGAAGAAGGUUGACGUGGAAGAGAUUGUGGAGACCUUCCCGGAUGAAAAACUACUAGCCACGAGUCUUGAGGUAGCGCCAAGGUAUGCAGACAUUGAAAACUACCUAGCAAGCGGUAUUGUCCCCUAUGACCUUUCUUCUAUUCAAAAGAAAAAGUUCUUUCGCGACUGUCGCAUGUAUUAUUGGGAUGAGCCUUAUCUGUUCAGAAUUUGUGUUAAUAACAUGAUCCGGAGGUGUAUCCCCGAGAUAGACUAAUCUUCUAUUUUGCAGGCGUGUCACGCGUCACGCGUCACUAUAUGGUGGCCAUUUCGGGGGAGUAAGGACAGCUGCGAAAGUCUUGGAUUCGAGCUUCUACUGGCCGACAUUGUUCAAAGAUGCACACUUAUGGGUGAAAGUUUGUAAUGAAUGCCAAUGAAUCGGGAAUAUUUCCCGCCGACAUGAGAUGCCUAUGAACCCAAUUCAGGAGGUAGAAGUAUUUGAUGUAUGGGGAAUCUAUUUCAUGGGGCCUUUCAUCAACUCAUAUGGCAACAAGUACAUACUCGUAGCUGUGGACUACGUGUCCAAAUGGGUAGAGGCUGCAGUGCUCCCUACAAAUGAUGCAAAUGGGGUAAUUGGUUUCUUGAGAAAGAAUAUAUUCACCCGAUUUGGCACUCCAAGGGUAAUAAUCAGUGACGGAGGCACUCACUUCUGUAAUCGAGACUUCGCAAAGUUGUUAGAAAAGUAUGAUGUACGCCACAAGUUCGCCACCCCAUACCAUCCACAAAUGAGUGGGCAAGUGGAAGUUUCGAACAGAGAGUUAAAAAGCGUUUUUAACAAAGACUGUGAAUGCUACAAGAACGGAUUGGGCGAGAAAGCUAGAUGAUGCACUCUGGGCCUAUCGUACCACUUUUAAAACUCCGAUUGGCAUGUCGCCAUAUAAAUUAGUGUUUGGGAAGGCGUGUCACUUACCAGUGGAGUUGGAGCAUAGAGCUUUGUGGCAUUGAGGCAGCUUAAUCUUGAUAUAGAAGUUGCAGGUACAAGUAGAGUCACAGAGUUGCACGAGCUUGAUGAGUUUUGCUACCAUGCUUUUGAGAGCACAAGAUUAUACAAGGAGAGAAUAAAAAUGAUGCAUGAUAAAAAUAUUCUUGAGCAGAGUUUUAAACCCGGAUAUAUGGUAUUGCAAUACAAUUCAAGAUUGAGGUUAUUUUCGGGUAAAUUAAAGUCAAGAUAGUUAGGACCAUUUAGUAUGGUAGAGAUUCACACGACCGGAACCGUAGAGAUUGCUGCAGCAAAUGCCUCUCGCACGUUUAGAGUCAAUGGGCACAGGUUAAAACAUUAUUUGGGCAUGAAAGAUGCGAAAGUAGUGUCGAUGACUCAUUUUCUCGAGCCAACAAGGUUAAGCGAGCCUUAAGUGCAAUUAUCCGCAUCGUGCCGCGACGUUAAAUCAGGUGCCUCAUGGGAGGCAACCCAUUGUAAUGUUCUAAUGUUGUAUUCGUCGUGCCACGACAUUAACUGAGGCGCUCGUUGGGAGGCAACCCAAUUUGUAGUUUAUUUUUAGUGUAGUUAGAAUUUUUCUUUUCAUUUUUAGGUACUUACAAGUUUGCAGGUGAUUUUGGGUGAGACGAGCAGAGCUUUAAGCGUCACAUAUUGGAAACUAGGAAACGUAGCUUGCAUUGCGAGGGGUAAGGCCAGGUAGAGCUGGCGUUUGAGCUCGCGCCACUAGAGGUGAAGCCAGGUGAACCAGGCUCUAAGGCUCGCGUCGCCAGAGGUGAGGCCAGGUACUUCGCGUGUCAGGCUCGUGCAGCAAGCCUCCAGGCUCGUGUUUGAGCUGGCGAGGCGAGGUAUUACGCGAGGUUAUGCACCAGGAGACUCCAGGUAAGUUUUUAUUUUCGGCCACUUUUAAUUUUUCUCCCUUAUUUUAUUCGAACCUCCUCACUUACACGCCCAAAGUACUGAACAAAAUACAAAAACCCUAACCUAACUUAGACCAAACACACAACAAAAGAAAAAAAUCUCAAACACCCUUCACCCUUCACCAGGUUUGCUCUCACCACUGCACAAUACUGCACAAAUCUCCCCUUGUCUCACCAGCAAUUUUCAGGCAACUCCUUCCCCUCAAAAGCUUCUAAGGUAUGAUUCUUCUCUCUUUCCCUUGCAAUUUUGAGUUGGGUAAAGGUAUGCAAUUACACGCGAAAUUUGGUGGUUGUUCUUCAUUGUAGUAUUGUGUUUCUGUGUCCUAACCCCAAGAACCCCAUAGGAAUGGUGCUGUGAUUGUAUGAACAUGUGGUAGUACGAAACUCCCAAGCCGAUUUGGGAGGGUGAGGCAAUCCUUCAUCCCUAUAAGCACUCCCAUGGCACUAGUUGCAUGCUAAGUGUUUGCUAUAAUGCCUCAAUGGCAUUCCUUGUCCCCAUUGGAUCCCGAGUCUCCGGGAUUAAUAGACUAGUGUUGUGUAGUCAUACACCACAUUAAAAUCUUAAGUGUGGGGUGGCUCACGGGUAGCCCAUGUGUUGUUGUUUGAUUCUAACGUUAAGAAAAUACGAGGUGAAGUCUGAGUAACCUCGGAAAGUUGGGCAAGACUAUGUGUGUAAUGUGUAAUACAAUUUUAACUGAUUAAUGAUUACUUGUGUAGGAACGAAGAUGCCUCCAAGAAAAGACACAAUAAAAGGAAAGACUACUUCCACUGCUCCGGCUAAAGCAAAGGCGACCUCCGCGCCUCCUCCAAAGAAGAGAAAAUGGGGAGAAGCUACCUCCAGUCUGAGUGGAGCACAAGAUGUGGCAGCUGUAGCAGCCAUACAUCCACAACCCCAAGGCCAACGGGAGUUUGGCAUCAACAGCAUACCCCCGCAUACUAAGGAUUGGUACAGGCGCUGUAGGCCUAAACAUGUACAACCGGAAGCAGCUAUCCAUGAACGCAGCUUGAAAGCAAAGUAUCAGGCAAUUUGGAGGGGCAUCCAGGAUUUGGGGUUGAACUAUGUAUUCAAGAACACAGGGGAUAUUAAUCUCAAUCUAGUCCGGGAAUUCUAUGCAGGGUUUUAUCCACUAGAUACUGAACAGCUGGUGCCGAUUCGUGGACGAUUGAUAGAGUUUUCAUCCACGGCCAUAUAUAACUUUUUAGGUGCUCCGGAUGUUCCUGUGGAGCCAUUGAACCACUUCAUUUGUCGGCCUACAUAUAGAGAGCUAUGACACACGCUUUGUGGUGUCGAUUCUACGGCAGCAUAGGUCAGGGAUAAGAAGACAAAUCGGCACAAGAGGUUCCCCAAGAAGAAGAUGAGGGUGGAGGCUCAAGUGUGGCUUACACUGAUAAAUGCAUGGCUCCUACCGUGCAAUCAUGAUACGCUCAUUAGUCGUGAAAGGACCUGUGCGCUCUAAUUCCUCAUGACAGGUCAAAGGGUGAAUGUGGGUCAUCUGAUCCGCUACCAGAUAUCUUUAGUCAGAACGAGUAAUAAGGUCGAUCGAAUGCCAUUUGCCAAUUUUUUAACUCAGUUCUUAAGACACGAGGAGGUUGCGGAGGAGCCAGAGUUUGACCACACCAUUGAUCAGCCCCUACGACAAACAGACAUCACUAGUCUCCGGCUGAAAGAAGAGAAUGCCAUGACAUCUUUGACAGGUGACGAGCGCAAUGCUCGUGAUGAUAGUUUUAUGGCCCAUCUCUAUGGGAUGAUGGAUUUGUAGCUGAGGAUAGGGGGUCGGCCGGCUACAUCUAAGGAGAGGACCUUAUUGGAGCAGUGGUACCCGCUCAAUGCUCAUGCCCAGCAGCUGGUUGGGAUAGGUGAUGGCUACAGACUUCUCGAUGAUGAGGAUAUCAACACACCUGAGUAGUCUGAGGCCGAGCUGGAACAGUCUGAUGAUGAGGACGAUGACGAUGAUGAGGAAGAAGCACAGGAUGAAGAGUGGAGAGCCUCAGAGGAUGAGGACGCAGUUUGAUCAGGGAGUUUCCUUGCACUCUACUCAUUUUUCUUGUUUUGUAAAUUUGUUCAUGCACUGAGGACAAUGCAUGAUCUAAGUGUGGGGUGGGGACUUGUAGAAAUUACUUGUAGUUGCUUGUUUUUGUUGUUUUAGUAAGUGUCUUUUUCGUUAGAUAAUUGUUUUAGUUAUUUGUUUUAGUGAUUUGGUUUCAGUGAUUUGUUCUGUUAUUUGUUGUAGUUAGAAUAUAUAUAUAUAUAUAUAUAUAUAUAUAUAUAUAGAACAACUGGACUAUUCCCACGAUGGAUCUCCUAGACAGUUUUCUUGAGGGAAGUAAGUCGAAGGAAAAAUACCAAAAAGAUUUUCUUGUAGGUAGUGUAGUAAGUCCCCCUUGGUUUUUCUUUUGGGCACGGUUCUUUUCGAGGGUUUAUUUUUUUAGUUGAACCGGGUGUAGUUAGUUUUAAUUUUUAGGAGUAGGAACUACGGAGCUAUGCAUUUAAUUAUAGCAAUAUCUCUUAGCUUUGUUAUGCCUUGAGAAUAGUUAGUACUAUGGUUGUGACGCCUAGGCUCGGUUUUUGACUCUAGCAUAAGUACCUUAAAUCGUAGAUUCCUAAUUUUGCUUAAUUGCUUUGACUAGAGUGUCGCGAUAAAACCAAUCCUGAGUGAGUUAUGUGUCAUGUCUGUGUGAGGUUUGGUAUAUAUUCUAUACAUUGCAUUUGAUGUCUAGAACUUUCUCCAUGUGUGUGCGAAGCAAAAUAGUAGUAUUGUUCAGUCUAGGAAGUGAUAUAGGCAACUUUGUUAAGCCAAAUAUAUAAAGUUUACCCACCUAAAUGUUAUGUAUCGUAGUUAACCCCGUUGAGCCGCUAAUCCUGUUUCUUUGGUAACCACGUUACAAGCCAUACCCCUUUGUUUUAAUAGAUCAUAUAAUUGAACCUUGUCACCUUUCAUGAGCACUUAUUGUGAUGAAUUAUGAAAAAGUUAAAGUGUGGGGUGGUGGGUUGGCUUUUGAGUGGAACAAUUGAAAUAAGGAGAAAGGUGCAUUGUUUUGAGAAAAAAAAGUUAUCAAUAAAAGCCACUUGAAGCAAAAACAAAUAGUGAGAAAAAAAUGAUAAUAGUUUAUUGUAUGAAAAAUAAGUCUUGAUGAUGGUGGCUAGUGAUAUACUCGUGUGCAUUAAAGUAUAUGUAUUAAAGUGCUUAAGGGAGGUGUAGUCGCUCAUAUCCAAAUGUAUCCUACCCGACCCGAAGCCUACAUUACAACCAAUGAAUGUCCUACUUGAUAUUNNNNNNNNNNNNNNNNNNNNNNNNNNNNNNNNNNNNNNNNNNNNNNNNNNNNNNNNNNUCGUUGACCUCUAUGUUAGAGUAAGUAAGUGAAUUGUGAAUAAGGCAUGGUAUUUGUGAGUCAAAUCUUGAGGGGAGGAUGCCACACCUUUGUGCUUAAACUAUUUUAAAGAUUCUUGGUAUAAUGAGUUGAGGGAAUUGCCUAAUAGGUUGUGUCUAUAAGUGUAGUUUGAUUGCUCGAGGAUGAGCAAUGUUUAAGUGUGGGGAAUUGAUGUGCGGCUAUAAUUCAUGGUUUAGCACACUAUUCACCUUACAUUUUAUAUGAUUUAAUGAUAAAUUAUACUUUAUUUGCUCGUAAUUAAGUCCAUUUUAUGUGUAGGCGAAUUGGAGAUGAAAGUAGAGCAAAAGGGAUACUUAAAAGUUGAAAGUGUGCUCGGGAGCAAUUGAAAAGGAGAAUCUGGUGAAGACAGGCCUACACCAGGCCUUAUACCUGGCGACGCCAGGCUUGUAGCUGGUGAGAGACCUGGCGAGGCGGGGCAGAAGGCGAGAUUAACCAGGCCUUAUACCUGGCAACGCCAGGCCUGGGGCGAGGUCCACCAGAUGUUAGGCCUCGCGAGGCCAGGUCUGGGCGUGCACAAUCCGAGUUUUGAAGACUUAUUUCGUCUCUGGGUUUGACUAGGACUUUUCCUAUAUGUUUAGGUCUUUUCCUACACAUAUAAAUAAACCUAAAAACGCCACUUUUGAGGACUUUUGCAACCGGAGGCAAGAAUAGCUUGUGGAAUCACUCUUUGGGAGUUAGAAUCAUCGAUUUUUACAUCCUUUCAUCUUUACUUUGUAAUUUAAUUAUUAAAAUUAUUUUGGAUAUUGUUACUAUGAGUAUGAGUAGCUAAAUUCCUAGUAUAAGGUUUUGAUGGAACCUAUUGAAGGAUGAUUUUCUUGUUACGUUAAUAUAAAUUUGCCGUAGUAUUUUCUCUAUUUGUUCAACUAUAUUAUUUAUGUGGUUGAUUGAAGGGCCCUCAAUUAGCUGUGCCUAUUUAGUAUUUAUUACUCGGGAGAGAGUGCAAUUUAGGUAGUUAUUGAACAACAUCACUUCUAUCGUAUAUGAGAGAUCAAUACGAAGGGUUUAAAGGUGGGAUUAGAGAUAACAAAACCUUGGUGCGAUCUGAGUGAGCCGUACUUAAUGCCAGCUAGAGUAAUUCGACAGAAUAUGUCUAGUAAAUUAUGGUAAUUACUCGGGAGAGAGUUACGACAGUCAUAGUACUCAUGAUCGAUAGAGAAGAAUUAGGCGAAUCUAUAGAAAACGUAGCGUACAAGAUUCCGACAAUAGGGGAAAUCAAAACCUUAGAUCAUUCCAAUUCUUGUUUACAAACCAUUUAUAGUUAGUUAUUUAUUAUUGCAUUUUCAUUACGUAAUAUUUAGUUAAUUAACUUCCAAAUUAUUAUUGAAAUAUUUCUGAAGAUUGAUUGCAUGAAUUUGUGCGAGUCUAGCAGUUGUGGUUGAUAGGUUAAUUUCCUAUGGGAUUCGACUCCGGACUUAUUAGCCGCAAUAUAUUUGCGACGACCGCAUAGUCCUUUUUAUAAGGCAUAGUUGGGCAUGAUCAAAUUUUGGCGUUGUUGCCGGGGAAUUAACGGUGUUAUUAAUUGCAGCUAAAAGAAGUGCUAAAAUUCUUAGUGUAGUCAAUUUUCUUCAUUCUAAAUCAAAUACAUUGAAAUUCUAACGUCUGUAGCCUUGGGUGCUACAGGUGCAUGCCUAGGAACUCCUCAAGAACUGGUGUACUGCUCGAAGCGUUAUCAGAUCCUAAGAAAGUUUUCAAGGCACUAAGUCGUGCAAACAAGAAAAGCAAACAGCAACAAAACUUGACAGAACAAAUCGAACUAGACAUGGAUGACAGAAUAGAAAAUCCAAUUAACAACAGAAACAAUGCGAAUGAACCAAACAAUUAGGGUGUGGUGCCUCUUGUACCAGAAGCAGCAUUAUAUGAUUGGGCACAACCCACCGUCAACAAUCUCGCAACCGCAAUUGUAGUCCCUCAAAUACAAGCGGAAUCAUUUCAAAUCACAAACAACAUACUACAUUUGUUGCAGAACAAGGGACUAUUCUCAGGUUCACACAUUGAAGAUCCUCAGCAUCAUCUGAAGAAUUUCCUGUCGAUAUGUGUCACGCAAAGGCAACCUAACGUGACACCAAAUGCAAUAAAGUCGUUAUUAUUCCUAUUCUCGGUGACAGGAGAAGCUCAGACUUGGCUUAAUUCACUUCCCAUAAACUCCAUCACUACUUGGGAGGAAUUAGUCAAGCAAUUUUUGAACAAAUUCUACCCACCCAAAAAACCUGCCAAACAGAUUGAUGAUAUAUUGAGCUACAGGCAGAGACCAACAAAAUCACUACAAGAAAUGUGGGAUAGGUUCAAGGGUAUGCUGGUUAUGUGUCCACAUCAUGGAAUUCCAGAUCAGAUGUUGGGACAGAGAUUCUAUAUGGGACUGGCUGACGGCUUAAAGGCCAAUGUUGAUGCUUCAGCAGGUGGAGGAUUUUUGAGUAAACCAUUCGGAGAAUGCAAGAUCCUACUUGAUAAGAUGGCCCAAAACUCAGGAUGGAUGACAAGAGCCUCUAUGAUCACUCCGGUAGUUCACUCAGUGGCUUUGGACCCAAACAACUCCAUAGCUGAGAGUAUGGCCACUCUAAUGACACAAAUGAGUAUCCUCACCAAGAAGAUUGAUGAAUCAGGUCAGAAGCAGCAGGUUCACAUAGUUGACGCAACUAAUGGGGGCUUAUGUACACCAUGCAUUAACCAACCAUAUGUUUGCUCAUGGAGUGCAGAAGGUGACAACCAGCACUAUCAGGAAGAUAUACAUUAUGUAGCCAACUAUGGGGGAUAGAGGAAAGGUGGUCAGAAAUGGGGUCAAUAGAAUCAACAAUAUAGACCAGCGCAGCAGCAGUACAAUAACAACAACAACCCUAGAACUAUGCGACCACUGGGUCAAGUUGUGCCUUACCAAAGGCAACAGGGUUACAACUAGCAAAAUCAGCAGCUGACUUAUCAACAACCUCAACAACAACAGAUUAUGAGACAAGAUGAUGGUUUUACUGAACUUAAGGGAAUGAUGGACAACAACAAUAGAAUGCUGCAACAACUGAUUGGGUCCACGGGAAAAAUGCAUCAGAGAGUAGACUCACAUGAAUCAGUGAUAAAGGGUAUUGAGAUUCAAUUAGGACAGAUUUCUAUGGCUCUAAACAAUCAUCCCCAAGGGACGUUACCUGCAGACACACAAGUCAAUCCAAAAGAAUAGGGCCUAAAACAGCUUAUGGCAGUGAGUCUACGAAAUGGUAGAGAAUCUGGAGCAAGAGAUGUCUCGCGAAAGCCGACCUACUGAUACACUUGUGCCAGUACCCAUUGAGAUAGAUGAUUCAACAGGGUUGACAGAGGUGACGGUACAACAUGCGCCAGCUAAAUCAAGCAAAGAAAAAGAGGUCUCGAAGGAAAAUGAGUCAGUGCAAGAAAAGGUAGUAGAAACAGUGCCAGAGCAGGUUUGGUGCCUCCGGGAUUUAGUAGCCCGAAUUGUCCGAACAUUUUUUGGACGACAGUCCCCGAGUGAGGUUAGCCCUUGGGAUCGAUAGUCCCCGAAUAGGGGUAGCCUGUGGGAUCUUAGGAUCCGAAAUUUAAGAGGCAAGAAAAUGUGUAAUAGCAAGGCAGAACUUUCUUUCAUUUUUGUGUGUAAAGUACAUGGUCGAAAAUUCGUAAAAUUUUGUGUCAUGGCUAAAAUGGACUAUGUGGGCACGGUUCACACAACUGUUUGUCCCUUACAAAUGAAUCCUAACCACCGAGCCUUGGCUUCUAGCAUACGAGGUUUUACUUUUUUCCUUGCUGAAAACCUUAAUCCGAGGGUAAUGGCUCCCAGUAUCUGAGGUCGAGCUUGAGAGGGCUCGGAUACUAUGGAUGUGAAAUGAACGCCCGUAGACUCCGAUAUGAGACCGGCCUUCGAAUCUAAGUUAGCACGUUUUACUGUUGCCUAGUUAAAAACCUUGUAGAAAAACCCAUUUUGGGACAAAAUCAGUUCAAGGAAAAAAGAGUGCAACACGUGCUUUCAGACCUAAUAGCCACAUCCAUUCUUGAGUGUUGCCUGCAAGUGUUAGUUCGAUUUAUAACAUAAUUACAGAGUAGUUGGGAUCGUACCUUAGCAUUAGUACCGUUUUAAGUGUGUCACGUUCUAAUUGUUCGGUAGUUGCACACUGUUUCUCGCCUCGAGUUUGUAUGAGCCUUUACUGGUUAUUCUGAUGACUCGAUACGAUCCUUCACAGUUCGAUCCCAGAUUUCCCUCGUUCGAGUUACGGGUGUGUAAUUUUACUUUCCUCAACAUCAGGUCCCCGAUCGUGAAGUGCCGGAGGUUGGCUCUUAGGUUGUAGUAUCUUUCUAUCUGUUGUUUUUGGGCGGUCAACAUGACUAAAGCUGCAUCACUCCUUUCAUUCAAUAAUUCUAGGCUCGUGACCAUGGCCUUUCCACUUGACUCUUCGGUUGCAUAUUGGAAUUUAAGGCUUGGCUCUCCCACCUCGACUGGUAUCAAGGCUUCGGCCCCGUAGACCAACAAAAAUGGAGUGGCCCCGGUACUGGACUUCGAGGUUGUACGAGAUGCCCAUAGGACUUCAGGCAAGAUUUAUUUCCAUUUCCCUUUGGUAUCGGUCAACCUCUUUUUUAGGUUUUGAAGUAUGGCCUUGUUUGUUGACUUUGCCUGUUCGUUCCCACUAGGGUGGUAAGGUGUUGAAAGUAUUGUAAUGACCUGGUCGUUCGUUCUGAGAGUUAUAGCCCUAUUUCCCCCAUCUAUGCUUAUUUAUGUGUUGUUCAGUUGUGUUGCAUUGUGUCGAGUUGGUAGGUUUGGGUUCGGAGUAGUUUUGGAGUGAAAUGAACACUUAGUCUCUUAGUUAGAAAGCUAAGUUAGAAAAGUCAACUGGAAGUUGACUUAUGAGUAAACAAAUUCGGAUUUAGAUUUUUAUGAUUCGAUUGGCUUCAUUGGGUGAUUUUAGACUUAGGAGUGUGUACGAAAUGUAAUUUGGAGGUCCGUGGUAGAAUUAGGCUUGAAUUGGCGAAAGUUGAAAGUUUAGAAGUUCUUAGGCUUGAAUCCGAGGUUGAUUUGGUGUUUCGGUGUUGUUUUGGGUGUUCCGAAGGUUCAACUAAGUUCGAGUAGUGAUAUAUGACUUGUUGGAAUUAUUGGUUGAGGUCUCGAGAGCCUCAGUGAGUUUCGGAUAGGUUUGGGUUGUGUUGCGCUCGUUUUUCUUAUGUUUCGACGUCGUUUCUUCAAGCAUAAAUGAUAUCAUAUUGAAUAAAUGAGCUUUGAUUUCUUUUUUUGAUUGAAGCAUUAGAUCCGUAUCGCAAUUAAGGACCCGUAGAAAAAAAAGAAUCGUUGAAUUUGGACAUCGUAUGAGGAUUUUGUGGUCAUUUUACUAAGAAUUGGGUUGCUAGAUUUUUAAAUUAAUUACGAAAUUGCCACUGACGGCGUAUUUAAAAAUCUGCACUAUUUGCAAAUAUUGAAACCAACAAUAUCUCAUUCAUUAUAAGGUCAAAUUGAGUGAUUCAAAAGUCCAACUUGAUUAGAAUUUCACAAGGUAAUCAUAUAAAAUGAGAGUUUGUUCAUUCGGUCAUAUUUUGAGUUGGGGAGCUUGGAUUUGGGCGAUUUGGGGGCGAUUUUCACCAUAUGGAUUGGGGUAAUUGUUCUCUACUCAAUUUUGGUUAUAUUUCAUGAAUCCAUCUUCGUUUUUGGGAUUUGAUUGAUGAUUUCAAAGUGAAAUUGAGGGAGUUAGGGUUUGAGUUUUGGAGAGUUUAAGUAAGGAUUUGAGGGACCAAAUAGAGUCCAAUUUUAAUUAAUUUUAUAUGGUUAGACUCGGGAGAGGAUGAGGUUUAUUAUUCUACCAUUUUGACUGAUUUCGAGACGUGGGCCCGGGGGCCAAAUUUUGGCCGGUUUCAGAUUUUUGGCAUAUUUUGUAGUUUUUAUUGUGGAAUUCGAUUCGUUAGCCUAUGUUGAUGGUAUUAAUCUGAUUAUGGUUAAAUUUGGAGCUUUUGGAGACCGAGUCUAGAGACGAGGGCAUCCUGGAGUAGGAUUUUACGCUAUUAAGGUAAGUAACAGUUUUAAAUCUGGCUUUGAGGGUAUAAACCUGGAGAAUUUGAUAUCGUGUGACUGUUUAGAGGUGAUACCCACGCUAGGUGACGGGUGUGUGGGUGUAUACCUCGAGGGAUUGCGACUUUGUCCGUCCCGUGAGGCCUCAUGGCCAUCAUCUGUGUUUACGUAGUUACUUGUUGUUGAACUUGUGUGCCUUCAUGUUAGAGAUCAUGCUUAGGCUUUAUUCAUGCUCACAUUAUUUGUACUCAGUCAUAGAAAUUACUGUACAUGUUUACCUCAGUCUCUAUUAUUUGCUAAUAUACUAUGAUACUUGAUGUGGGCUGUGUUCCCUUAUUUGUUGAUGAUGGUGAGGCUAGUGAGGUACAUGAUUGAGUGAGGCCGAGGACCUGGUUGUGAGGAUAUUAAUACCAUAGAGCGUGAGUUAUCCGCGUAGCAUGUGAGUUGACCGUGCGGAUCCAGGUAUUGAUAUGAUGGCACCUGAGUUGUCCGUGCUUAGCGCUUGGGCUUUGGAGCCCCUCCGAAGUCUGUACACACCCCCAAUGAGCGCAGAGUGUUGAGCGUUGAGUGAUGAGUGCGAGUGCUGAGUGAUGGAAUGACAUUACUGUGAGGUUGCAUUUACUUUUGUUGUUGCUGCAUUUACCUGUUAAUUUUUCUUGUAGUCUUACUGAUUUAUGAAAUUACCUGUCUACUCCUGUUUGUACUUAAUUGUGGAAAUAAUAAUUGGAUUAUUCUGCUUAGCUCGUCACUACUGCUCAGUUCCUUAGUUAUUUAAGUUUCUACUGAGNNNNNNNNNNNNNNNNNNNNNNNNNNNNNNNNNNNNNNNNNNNNNNNNNNNNNNNNNNNNNNNNNNNNNNNNNNNNNNNNNNNNNNNNNNNNNNNNNNNNNNNNNNNNNNNNNNNNNNNNNNNNNNNNNNNNCACUUUAUGUGCAGAUCCAGGUGAGUUAGAAGGCGGUGAUCGUUGAGUUCAGGCCGACUAUCUUUGGAGACUGCAAGGUAGCUGCUAGCGUCUGCAGGACCUUGUUACUCCUUUUGUCAUUUCUUCUUUUGGACAGUUAGACAGUUUAUAUAUCUUAGUUUAUAGUUUUAGACGCUCAUGACUUAGUGACACCCCGAUGCUUGGGGCUCGUUUUCGUAUUUUCUAUAAUUAUAUUUAGAUUUGAUUUAGUUUAUGAAAAAUUCAAAUGUUGGAAAUAUUUUAUUAAAUUCUUAUAAUCAAUUUAAUAGUAAUACUUUGGGAAAUAGGUUUGCCUUGUAACACAAUAGGCGCCAUCACGACCAUGGUUAGAUUUUGGGUCGUGACAAGUAUCUUUUUAAUUUUGUGAUUUUUAAAACAUUUGUUUACCUUGCUGCCGAUGAAUUGCUUCCCAUUUAUCCCAGACCUUUUUGAAUGCUUGGGCCUCGACCAUUUGGAAAAAUAGUCAGUCAUGAAUAGUACAAAUUAAGCUUUACCGCGUGUCCAUGGCAGGGGACCGACGAUGUCCAUCCCCUAUUUCAUAAAUGGUCAUGGGGACAGGACCGAGUGUAGUAGCUCCCCCGACUGAUGGAUCAUCGGUGCGUAUCUCUGGCAGCCGUCGCAUUUUCAUACAAAGUCUUUCACAUUCUUCUCCAUUUCGGUCCAAUAAUAGCCAGCCCUGAUUAAUUUCCGAACCAAAGAUUCUUCCCCCGAAUGGUCCCUGCAAGUGCCUUUGUGAACUUCUCUCAAGGCGUACUUGGUAUCUCCCAGCCCCAAGCAUCUAGCUAACGGGUCGUCGAAUGUUCUUCUGAACAAUGUCCCUUCGACCAAGCUAAAUCUGGCAGCCUUGGUACGUAGGGCUCUCGAUUCUUUACAAUCCGAGGGCAGUUUCCCAGUUUUCAAGUAGUCUAUGUACUUGUUCCUCCAAUCCCAUGUUAAACUCAUUGAGUUUACUUCGGCAUAACCUUCUUCUACCACAGACUUCAUAAGUUGUACGACUGUUCCUGAACUGAAUUCAUCAUCAUCAAUCAAUGACCCCAAGUUAGCCAGAGCAUCAGCCUCGCUAUUUAAUCUCGGGGCACGUGUUGCAGGGUCCAUUCCUUGAAUUGAUGUAGCAUUAACUGUAACUUGUCUAAAUACCUUCACAUUCAUUCCUUUUUUACUUCAAACGCCCCAUUGACUUGAUUUACCACAAGAAUGGAAUCACACUUAGCUUCGACCACCUCGGCCCCAAGGCUUUUAGCCAAUUCAAGACCUACAAUCAUGGCCUCAUACUCGGCCUCAUUGUUAGUCAAUUUCACAGUUCUAAUAGACUGUCUAACUACAUUUCUCGUAGGGGGAUUCAGCACGAUACCGAGCCUGGACCCAUUUGCGUUUGAGGCAUCGUCCGUAAAAAGGGUCCAAAUUCCCGAGGAAGUCCCCGAGGCUAACAAUAAUUCUCUUUCGAAUUCGGGCACUAAGGUCGGUGUAAAGUCGGCCACGAAGUCGGCCAAAAUUUGAGAUUUUAUGGCAGUUCAAGGUCGAUAUUCGAUACCGUACCCACUAAUUUUGACGGCCUAUUUGGCCAACAGACCCGAUAGCUUGGGCUUGUACAUGAUGUUCCUCAGUGGGUAAGAGGUUACGACACAUAUGGGGUGACAUUGAAAGUACGGUUUCAACUUUCUGGAGGCGCUUAGCAAAGCGAACGCCAAUUUUUCCAGAUGAGGAUACCUUGUUUCUGCCUCGCCAAGAGUCCUACUAACAUAGUAAAUGGGGAAUUGCGUGCCUUCCUCUUCCCGGACUAAGACUCCACUUACCGCCACCUCUGAAACCACCAAGUAAAGGUACAACUGUUUAUCCUCCUUCAAAGUAUGGAGUAGGGGGGACUCGAGAGUACUGUUUGAGUUCUUCCAAAGCUUGUUGGCAUUCUGGAUUCUAGGAAAAGUUAUUCUUCUUCUUUAAUAGUGAGAAGAAUCGAUGGCUUUUGUCCGAGGACCUCGAUAUGAAUCGGCCCAAGGCAGCUAUACGCUCGGUCAGCCUCUGAACGGCCUCGACGUUGUCCACCACGGUGAUGUCUUCUAUGGCUUUGAUUUUGUCGGGAUUGAUCUCGAUCCCUCGAUUGGAUACCAUGACCCCAAGGAAUUUUCCGGAUCCGACCCUGAAUGCGCACUUUUUUAGGUUCAGCAUCAUAUUAUAUUUCUUUAAUAUGUUGAAGGUUUUCUGCAAAUGUUUCAGAUGGUCCUCUACUCGCAUGGACUUGACUAUCAUGUCGUCAAUAUAAACUUCCAUUUAUUUUCCUAUAUGUUCUUCGAACAUAUAGUUUACUAGGCGUUAAUAGGUGGCACUGUCGUUCUUUAAUCCGAAUGGCAUUACAUUAUAACAAUAGGUGCCGAACUUAGCUAUAAAGGAAGUUUUUUCUUGAUCACCCGGGUCCAUCUGAAUUUGGUUGUACCCGGAUUAGGCAUCGAGAAAACUGAGUAUCUCGUACCCAUCCAUCGUGUCGAUCAUCCGAUUGAUGUUAGGCAAAGGAAUAGAAUCCUUAGGGCAUGCCUUGUUUAGAUCUUUAUAAUCUACACACAUUCAUAGAUUAUUUCCUUUUUUAGGUAUUACCACUACAUUGGCUAACCAGUCCGGGUACAUAACUUCCCGAAUGGAUCCUAUUUUAAGGAGUUUAGAUACCUCGUCCUUGAUAAAAGCGUGCUUGACUUCGAACUGCGGUCUCAUUUUCUGCUUAACCAGAUAGAACUUCGGGUCCAAACUCAGCUUAUGAGUGGUUACCUCGGGCAGGAUCCCUGUCAUGUCAAGAUGGGACCAAGGGAAACAAUCUAUGUUAGCUAUAAGAAAUUCAAUGAGUUUUUGCCUAAGCUCGGGAGUUAACCUCGUGCCCAGGUAUACCUUCCGGUCGGGCAGGUGUUAGAUCAAUAUGACUUGCUCCAGCUCCUCGACCGUCAAUUUAGUAGCAUUGGAAUCAUCGGGAGCAAUGAAUGACUUAGGAACUCCGUAAUCAUCCUCCAUGCGUACUCCUCGGUCUUCCUUCCUGGUCGGCUCUGUGUUCUUUGAUGUCGAGAUCACGGGCACUGGGAUCACCUCGUCGACCACGAACAUUUCUUUUGUGGCCGGUUACUCUCCAUAGAUCAUCUUAAUUCCUCCCGGCGUAGAUUACUUUAGUGCCUGGUGCAGUGUUAAGGGUACUUCCCUCAUAUUGUGAACCCAUGGCCUUCUAAAUAAGGCGUUAUACCUUAUGUCCCCUUCGAUCACGUAGAAUUUUGUAUCUUGAAUUGUCCUGGCAGUAUUCACUGGCAAGGUUAUUUCUCCCUUAGUAGUUUCGCAUGCCAUAUUAAAUCCAUUCAACACCCGGACCGCCGGUACUAUUUGAUCUUAUAACAUCAGCUCGACGACCCUCGAUCUGAUAAUGUUGGUCGAGCUUUCUGGAUCAAUCAACACACGUUUAACCCGAGAUUUGUUGAUAAGUACGGAUAUAAAAAGUGCAUAAUUAUGAGGUUAUACGAUGCCUUCAACAUCCUCGUCGCUGAACGAAUUAGUUCCCUCCGGAAUGUAAUCUUGGGUGCGCUUUUCCCUAGUAAUGGAUACUUUAGUGCACUAUAUCAUUGGUCUCUGGGGGACAUCAACCCCUCCAAUGAUCAUGUUGAUGGCGUGCUGAGGUUCUUUUUGUUCGGUGUGUUUGUUGGAGUCCCUGUUUCUGAAAUGGUUUUUGGCUCGAUCACUCAUAAAUUCUCAGAGAUGCUCGUUAUUGAAUAGCCGGGCGACCCCUUCUCUCAACUGUCGGCAGUCCUCGGUCAUGUGGCCAUGAGUGCCAUGAUAUUUACACAUCAGGUUAGGAUCCCUAUGGGUAGGGUCAGACUGUAAUGGUCGAGGCCACUUGGUUUCCUUGAUGCGCCCGAUGGCUGAUACGAUGCUGGCUGCAUUGACAUUGAAGUUAUACUCUGAUAAUCUUGAUGCUUCCCUUCCCCCGUGAGGCAUGUCAAAACCAUUUUGCCCAUCAGACCUCAGCUAUUGGGCCCUCGAUCGCCUCUCUUUUUAUUCCCUGUAGAGUUACGCCAAGACUCGUUCCCCUUCGAUCUGCAUUGUAUGGUUGGUACCGAUAUCAGACCGGCCUUGAUUCAUGAUCGACGACUCUCUUAGGCAUGUCGUCAGUUAUGAUGGGAUAAACGGACCCAGAAGGGGCUUUGAGUUGGUCGUCCUCGACUAUGAAUUUUGACUGGUACCUGUUGUGGACGUCGGCCCAAGUUACCGUCGGGUACUCUACCAAGUUUUCUUAAGCUGCUGCAAAGCCAAAGAGCUUCGGGGGUUAAGUCCCUGGGUGAAUGCCUGAAUGGCUCUAUCGUCCGUAGCAGGAGGUAAAUCCAUCUAUUCCAUUUGAAAUCUUAACACGAACUCCCUGAUCAUCUCGUUGUCCUUUUGCUUAACCUUGAAAAGAUCUGAUUUUCUGGUCUUGACCUUGAUGGCACCGACAUGAGCCUUUACAAAGGGAUCCGCGAGCAUAGGGAAUGAAUCAAUGGAAUUUGGGGGUAAGUUGUGGUACCAUAUCAUUGCUUCAUUUGACUAAGUUUCCCCAAACUUCUUUAAUAACACUGACUCGAUCUCGUCUCCUUCCAAGUCGUUACCUUUGAUGGCGUAUGUGUAGGAGGUCAUAUGCUCAUUCAGAUCUAUGGUUCCAUUCUAUUUUGGAAUAUCGGGCAUAUGAAACCUUUUCGGGAUUGGCGUUGGUGUCACUCUUGGAGUAAAGGUUUUUGGACAAAUAUUUUGGAGUUCGAGCCUUUUAAUAUCAGGGGUGCUCUUGGAAUUGGAUCGACCCGAUAAGUAUAUGUCUCCACCUUCUUAUCGUUAGCCUCAAUUUUCUUUUCACCUGACUCCACCCGUUUCGUUAAUGCUUCAAGCAUUUUUAUCACUUCGGGACUGACACCGAGCUCAGUUCCAGCCGGCCUUUCGGCUAUCUGCUCAUUUCUUUGGGUGAUUUCCCGGGAUGGUUCGGGCUCAACUCUGCUGGGGGUGCGGCUUUGAUUUUGCAGCUAUGCUAUCGCCGCCUAUUGAGGCUGCAACAUUUUGAAAAUCACUUGUAAGCCGACUCUGUUGCCUUCGCCUUCAGGCACUCCUUGAGCCGUUGGUCGGGCUCCUCCAAAAACGUUGUUCUCGGGGUCGAUAGGCAGGUUCGUGUAAUUGGCCACAUGCGAGUUAGCAUCGAUUGGAUGUGUAAUUGGAACUCUAUUGGGAUCAGCAAGGGACACCUCAUUGCUAAGUACCAGAUUGUUGUUUUCGCUAUGAUGGCCAGAUUCAGACUCGGCGUUUAAGUGAGCAAACUGAGGAUUUGAUAUUUUCAAACAGACAUGAAAUUGUGACCUUAAAGAACAAGUGUAAAAUAGAGUGUGCUAUGGAGAUUUGUAUCAAACCACCACUAUUAUCCUUAGCUCCACGGUGGGUGCCAAACUAUUUACCCUUAAAUUGGAUAAUAAUUGAAUUAAUACGUGGCUUUAAGGAUAAGUGGAUUGAUUCAACACAAGUAAUCAAGAAUGUUAGAUAAACGAAUUAAAGAUGAGAUAGAUAACCAAACCAGUUGUGACUUUGACUCCGGGCUCGGAUUUUAGCUUAACAAUAGUUUUGCCCUCAACUGAACUCUCGAUUCGAAGCCAAAUACGUAUGAAGAACUAUGAUUAAAAUAAGAACCUUUCAAUAGAUAGAAAGCAGAGAAAUAAUUUUAUAUUGCCUUGAUAUGCUUGUUACAAUGAGUAUUGAAUUAAAAAACUUCCCCUUUAUAUAGUAGGAGAAUUUCAUCCCUAAUACAACUCUAAAAAGGGUAAAACAAAUCCUCAUUGAUCAUGAAUUACUGAUAUGCUAUCGAUGUCGGGCGAUAUUCGCACCAUGAUAUUCGGUUGGAUGUGGAUAUCAUGAUUUUCUAUUAGUCGAGUGCAACCGUUCAUAGUGCUUUCCGAGGUUUAGGAGCUCGCUUUGGGUUCGGGGAUUGUUGUCUUACCAGGACCGGUGGCAAACACUCCAUUCAGCCCCUGGUACGAGAAGUCCCCGGCUUCGAUUCUGAUCCCAUACAUUCAUGUCUUCGCUUCGUUUAACCGACCGGGAAAUCGAGGUAUAUGUUACCCCCGGUUUUACCCGUAUACAAGUUGCAUAGAGUAUUCCUUCCUAGUUUCAUGUAACUAAUGAUCCAAUCUCCUUGACUAUUUUUGAUGACUCCGUCUAUUCCCCAAACCCUAGGAUUUCCUAAACAUGAUCCAUCAAUGUUAGUUUAAGGGAUUCCCUUUAAGGAGGGGUUCUAUUUCACAGAAAUUAUAAAGUUGUCCUGUUUUGCGAAGUGAUUACUGAUUGCAUGAUGAGCCACCACUGCCUUGGCAAUGGUAUUAUUCACUGAGGUUAAAUCAUGCCUGUUUUGACUAGUAGAGGACUAACAAGUUUAACCAACUUCCGAAGGACACAUUUGACUAAAUAACUCAUACAUUUAUUUUUAUAUUUUCAUAUUUCAUUUGACAAUUAUUGCAAAUUUAUAUGUGUAAAUUAAGGAUUUAGAUGAAAACAAAUAAUAUAGAUUAAUUACAACUACAGAUUGUUGAGAUGAAUAUGGUCUGUAGACAUCGAAAUUUUAGCGGAUCAAGCCCAUACAUAAUUUGGGCUAAAUCCUAAAUUCAAGACACUAAAAGACGACUCUUGAAAUUUUAGGAGUCUAUUAAGGUUACUUGGAGGCUACUCUACUAAAACCCUAACUUGGUGGAUACUCUACCCUAACCCUAGGCCACUCCUAUAAAAAGGGUUACAUAUUUUCUUAGAAAAGAAUCUCUCAAAAAUGGAGAUCAUCUCAGAAAUUUCAUAAACUCUCGGAAUAUGCACAAAACAUCAAAUACACAAUCUCUAAAAUUCCAUAAAACUCUUGGAAUAUUCAUUAAGAGAUCAAAACAUGUCAAAUAUAUCUUGCUCAAAGUUCUAGCAACAUUCAAGAUCCAAAUGGAGUGUUGCUACAUGCUUCUUGAUCAUCAAAUAUAUCAAUGAGAUGCAUAUCAUCCUACAUUUGAGAAAUACGCUGCUAAGGCCCUCGAAUUACGGAUAACAAAUCGGAGGAAAGAAUCCAGGGAUAAACAGAGUUAUAACCCUCAAUGUUUAUCAAUAAAAUUAUUUUUUCUUUAUAGUUGUUUGUGAUUGUAGUUUUAUCUUUCUGCACAAAUUUGUUGCAAACAAAUUGGCACACCCAAUAGGACCAGUUCUGCCCUUCAUAUCUUCCUCCCACAAAUCGAAAACUACAAGUUUCAAAAUCAUAUGUUGUGAUGGUCGAGUACUUCAAGUCUCGUCUUCGAGUUUUGGCAAACCUACACCCCGACAAACCUUGAAGUAGGGGGCAUUUGUAGACAUAAAAAUUUUAGCGGAUCAAGCUUAUACAAAAUCUGGACUAAAUCCUAAAUUCAAGACACUAAAAGACGACUCUUGAAAUUUUAGGAGUCUAUUAGGGUUGCUUGGUACUCUACCAAAACUCUAACUUGGUGGCUACUCUACUAUAACCCUAGGCCACUCCUAUAAAAAGGGUUACAUAUUCCCUUAGAAAAAUAUCUCUCGAAAAUGGAGAUCAUUUCAGCAAUUUCAUAAACUCUCGGAAUAUGCACAAAGAGAUCAAAUACACAAUCUCCGAAAUUUCAUAGAACUCUUGGAAUAUUCAUUAAGAUAUUAAAGACAUGUCAAAUAUGUCUUGCUCAAAGUUCUAGCAACAUUCAAGAUCCAAAUGGAGUGGUGCUACAUGAUUCUUGAUCAUCCAAUACAUCAAGGAGAUGUAUAUCAUCCUACGUUUGAGAAAUACUCCGCUAAGGCCCUCGAAUUACGGAUAACAAAUUGGAGAAAAGAAUCAAGGGAUAAACAGAGUUGUAACCCGCAAUGUUUAUCAAUAAAAUUAUUUUUUUUUAUAUUUAUUUGUGAUUGCAGUUUUAUCUUUCUGCACAAAUUUGUUGCACAAAUUAGUUCCAUUGCUGGGAUCUCCUUUUAUCUUUCUGCACAAAUUAGUUGCAAGCAAUUUGGCACGCCCAGAGGGACCAGUUCUGUCUUUUAUCUCUUCCUCCUGCAAAUCGAAAACUACAAGUUUCAAGAUUAUUUAUUGUGAUGGUCGAGUAUUUCAAGUCUCGUCUUUGAGUUUUGGCAAACUUACACCCCUACAAACCUUGAAAUAUGGGGCAUUUGUAGAAAUCAAAAUUUUAGCGGAUCAAGCCUAUACAAAAUUUGGGCUAAAUCCUAAAUUUAAAACACUAAAAGACGGCUCUUGAAAUUCUAGGAGUCUACUAGUGUUGCUUGGAGGCUACUCUACCAAAACCCUAACUUGGUGGCUACUCUACCCUAACCCUAAGCUACUCAUAUAAAAAGGGUUACAUAUUCCCUUAGAAAAGGAUCUCUCGAAAAUGGAGAUCAUCUCAGCAAUUCCAUAAACUCUCGAAAUAUGCACAAAGAGAUCAAAUACACAAUCUCCGAAAUUCCAUAAAACUCUUGGAAUAUUUAUUAAAAGAUCAAAACAUGUCGAAUAUGUCUUGCUCAAAGUUCUAGCAGCAUUCAAGAUCCAAAUGGAGUGUUGUUACAUGCUUCUUGAUCAUCAAAUACAUCAAGAGAUGCAUAUCAUCCUAUGUUUGAGAAAUACGCUGCUAAAUCCCUCGAAUUAUGGAUAAUAGAUCAGAGGGAAGAAUCAAGAGAUAAAUAGAGUUGUAACCCGUAAUGUUUAUCAAUAAAAUCAUUUUUUCUUUAUAGUUAUUUGUGAUUGCGAUUUUAUCUUUCUGCACAUUUGGUUCUGUUGUCGGGAUCUCCAUUUAUCUUUCUGCACAAAUUUGUUACACCAAAUUGGCACGCCCAGUGGAACCAGUUCUGCCCUUCAUCUCUUUCUCCCGCAAAUUAAAAACUACAAGUGUCAAAAUCAUCUGUUGUGAUGGUCGAGUACUUCAAGUCUCGUCUUCGAGUUUUGGCACAUGUACACCCCGACAAACCUUGAAGUAGGGGCAUUUGUAGACAUUAAAAUUUUAGCGGAUCAAGCCCAUACCAAAUUUGGGCUAAAUCCUAAAUGCAAGACACUAAAAGAUGACUCUUGAAAUUAGAGUCUAUUAGGGUUGCUUGAAGGCUACUCUAUCAAAACCCUAACUUGGUGGCUACUCUACCUUAACCCUAGGUCACUCAUAUUCCAUUAGAAAAGGAUCUCUAAAAAAUGGAGAUCAUCUCAGCAAUUCCAUAAAUUCUCGGAAUAUGCACAAAGAGAUCAAAUACACAAUCUUCGAAAUUCCAUAAAACUCUUGGAAUAUUCAUUAAAAGAUCAAAACAUGUCGAAUAUGUCUUGCUCAAAGUUCUAGCAGCAUUCAAGAUCCAAAUGGAGUGCUGCUACAUGCUUCUUGAUCAUCAAAUACAUCAAGAGAUGCAUAUUAUCCUACAUUUGAGAAAUACGCCGCUAAGGCCCUCGAAUUACGAUUAACAAAUCGGAGGGAAGAAUCAAGGGAUAAACAGAGUUAUAACUCGCAAUGUUUAUCCAUAAAAUCCUUUUUUCUUUUAUAGUUGUUUGUGAUUGUAGUUUUAUCUUUCUGCACAAAUUUGUUACAAACAUGGUCAUUUCAUCUUUAAUCAGAAGUAUUGGAUUUGAAUUAUGAGAAAGAAAAAAAAAACUAGAUAAAAUUCCCCGACAACCAUUUUUUAGUCCAUAUAAUGGAAAAUAGUCACUGUCACGAAGUAUCUGAAAUUUCACUUGUGAAAAUUAAAACUCAAUGACAAUGGCUGUUUCUCAAUUUAAAAGUUAAAAGGUGGCCAGCCGCACUAUUACUACGAAAAAUUCUUAGUAGGUAAAGCGCCCUCUUAGUAAGCCUUAUGUCGUGCACAUCCAAAUUUAUUGGGUCCAUGCAAAUAAUGAACACCUAAUAACUAGGGGCAUAUUUAGGUUAAGGGAUAUGUGCUCACGUGAACUUAUGCUCCUCUCCAUAAAUCAUGUAUAACUAUAUUAUGUAUCUUCAAAAUACUUAAAUAUAUGUGCAUGCACUUAAUUUUAAAGACUCAUGUAGUGCAAUAAUUAUUGGGUGCACAUCUACAAGUAAAAUUGGUGAUUUAAAUCACAUUCCGAACGGUCUUAUUUUUAAUACGGAGUAUAGAUAUAUACGUGGGAAUUCAAAAAUAAUAAAUUUUGAAUCUUUAUUUUUAGAAGUAUAAUGGGUUUAUGGUAAAAGUUUAAAGUUAAACCUGUCAAAUGUAGAACUAGAUUUACCUCUUCACAAUAAUGCACUCAUUCUCUUGAAAUCCUGAAUCCGCAUUUGCGAGUCACAAACUAAAAUAAAUGAUUACUAGAAUAUGUUAAACAAAUACUUUACUAAUAAUUAAAAUUACUAAAAAUCCUUUUUCAGAUGUGUAUAAAAAUUUUCAACAACAAAAAUAAUAUAGACCAUGUAAUAGUAGCUCUUUUUAAAAGGAUAGAAGAUGCUUGGCAACGCCAAUCCAUAAAUUUUUGUCAUGACGCAAACUACCACAAGCCUUUUCCUCUACUUUUUGAAGGAAUCUCUGUUUCUUUCUCAUUCAUACAUCCCAAUUGCUAGAUGACAAAAAGAGUUCCUUGUGACCCAACCAACUGCAAUUGCCACUAAAAUAACUUCUUGGGCUGUUGGCCACGUCAUUUUUCUUACUCAAAAUUAGGCAAAUAUCGGUAAGCCUUGAUGGCUGAUUUCAUGCCUUAGUUUCUCUCCAUUUUCCUUAUCCCACAAUCACCACACUACAAUAUUCCACGUAACAAUGAAACCCCUCCACCCUUCUCCUACCCAACCCAGAAAAAGGGAAUAAUAAUAGAAAGACACAAAAAUAUCUUGAGAAUGUCAUAAGUUCUAAAGUUUACUAGCAAAAUAGUUAAGUGCAAGUUUACCAAAAGAUUUCCUCGUAUGAAGGAGAGGAAGAACCCGCUCUAAAAAAUAUUAGUCACAAUUCGAACUAAAUUUAGUCUGCCGUGUAUUAUUUUUCCUUGAUUUGCAUUAGUACAAAAGUUUAUGAGUGAUAUUUAUUUUCUUAAGUUUUUUGCUUAACAUCAUUGGCAAAUUAAUCAAUUGACGCGUUUCCUGGUCGUAGGCAAGUUCUUCCUUCAAAAGUUCUUUAGAACAUAUUCAUAUUUUUAUAAGAAAGUUCUCCCAAAAUCACUCGCAUCAAAGGGGGAAUUAUGCCAAUUAUUUUUGAAUAUGAACAUACAAGAAGAAGAAAAAGAAGAAGCAACAUCACUGAGUGAAGUGGAAAUAAAUUUCCAUUAAGAAAGAAUAUGAAUCACAGUUACAGUUGCUUUUUCUCACUUGAAUUAGUAAUCAAUAAAAGCUUAAAACUUGCUAUUUCUCCCUAAUCGCCAAAUACAAAGUCUGAUCUCUUUAAAAUACGUACUACAGCCCUUCAGACCAUUCUGAUAACACCUGCUUCUUCUCUCUUGAAUGAAGAGCUCAAAUGCCCAAAAGGGUCAUACAAAAUAAGGCAUAAAAUUCCUUUCUUCUACAAUUGUUUAGUGUAAUUGAAAUAGAAAAUCUCUGGUAAAAAGUGGGA